UUUCUAAAUAUUAAUUUUCAACUCCAUCCACGCCCUCCUCCGCUCACUGGUGAUGUUCAUGGUAAUACGAAUAGGACUUUGGUGGAUUUGCAAGAAUGGUUUGUUAGAAUUCUUAGUGAAGAGCUUGACAAGUUCAAUGAUUUCUAUGUUGAUAAAGAAGAAGACUUUGUUAUACGCCUUCAGGUUUCUUUCUUGAUUUUUCUUUUCUUUCUUUGUUUUACAUGUUUAUAGCUUUGUGCAUAUGGGUUUUUAAUUUCGAGGCUUUUGUUUAUUAUAGCUCUGGGAAUUUAAGGUAUUGUGGUUUGAUGGUGGCUUUUAAGGUUUUUUCUAUAUGCAUGUCUUGUAAAUCCGAACUCAUAGGUCUGGUUUAAGGGUUUUGUAAGUUUUUGAAUAAUCAGGAGAGGAGUAGAAUGGAGAAGACAUCGUGACUUCAUUGGAACAGGAGAAUAGUGGGAUGUCAAGGAAAAAAGACGCAUAAAAGUGGCUUUCCUUUCCCUGGUAGUGCUGGGUGGUGUUGUCAGAUAGUAUGUGAAGAGGAGAUUGUCGAUGGGAUUGGAGGGGCUUGAUAAAGUUAAGAAUAACUUUUCCAGUUUGUGGAACUUGCUGAAGUAGAGCAGAGUAUUUUGUAGUAUAGUUAUAAGGCCAACCAUCGUCAAUUAUAGCUGACAAUAGGAUUGUUGGAAGUCAGUUGAGGGAAUUGAGGGUGCUGAAAUGAGGAUAUUGAAAUGAAAUGCCAGGUCAUCAAUAUAUGAGAAUUCUUGGGUUAUAACUUAUGAUGAAUGGAUUCUGUCUAUUAUUUGUAAUUUGGAUGAAUGGAUUCGACGAAUGAAUUCUGUCUAUUAUUUGUAAUUUGGAUGAAUGGAUUCUGUCUAUUAUUUUCUGAUUGGAUAAUAAUAUAGAAGAUGGGCUGUUAUGUAUUAUGUUUUUUUUUGACAAAAAUUUAAUUACAAUUAUAAAAUGUUUGGAUUGAUUACAAGGCUGAUUUGAAUUGAUUCUUGAAUUUUUAUUUGAAGCAUGAAUUUUUUUAAUGUAUUUUAAAAUUCCUUACGAUUUUACGAUUUUACGAUCCGUUUUUACGAUCCGAGUUUGUUUUGCAUUUUCCGUGCCGUGUUAAAAUCGCGAUUUUAACAACCUUGGCUGGGACCUCAGUACCUGGUCCUUUCUUUUAUAGCUGUGUGAUAUUUGUCAGUGAAGGUAAGGCCCCCAUGCAGAUGUCCCUUUUUCACUCUUUUUUCUUUUUCCCGACCCCAGAUAUAUGUGGACUGUUUCAUGUUUAUUUUAUUGGACACAUGUAAUAUUUAAUCAAUCUUUGGACAUGUUGUUGCCUCUCUUUUCAUCAUAACUUUUGGGUGUUAAUGAGGGUUGCUUGCAGCAGCAGAUUUAAAAUAAAAAUAAAUAAAUUUUCAUAAAAAAAAAACACGUUGAACCUCAUCCACGAAUAUUAGAUAUGCGUUUACAAUCUCCACGUCUCGUGAUGCUGUCAGACAAAAUCUCCCAUAUUAUAGUAGAUCCAACUCUGUUUUGUGUGGUGUGGCUUCAAAGAUUUUAGCUCAGCCCCACGUUUACAAAAGUUUAUUGUUGCAAUAAAAAAAGAACAUAAUUAGAUGGCAAAAUCUAAAUUAGACCAACCAUAUUAGCUCGAUGUGUGAAUGCAGAUUAGAGAUGCAUCCCAUUAUCUAUGAAAGCUCUUCAGAAUACUUUUAAAAAUGAUACAGAAAGGGAGAGCAUUCCCGCACCCAAUUACAGCACAGGAGCAAGCUCUUACUGGUUCCAACUUCCAAGCCUUAACCCCAAGGAUGGGUCGACGGUCAGCUUGACUUGCUAGCAAUUGAAUUUUAUGUUUUGAAAAAUUGAUUUGAUGCCUAAUAACCAACCAAUGGUAUGCCCCGCAGUGUUUGUCAGGCUAAGCAUAUAUUUCCACGAAAAAAAAUGACAAUCACUACGCUCGCAAUGAUCACCACUUAAAAAUGAUACAGAAAGGGAUAGCAUUCCCGCACCCAAGGGCAGAGGGCAUGUUAAAGGAUACAUGUAAAGAUUUUAUCAAUAUUUUUUAACUAGUUUUAUAUAAAAAUAAAUUUAUAAUUAAUAAUUGAGUUGUUAAAAAAUUUUAAAAAUUUACGUGGAGCCUUUUAAUAUGAUGCUUUACCUUUGGUUAAAAUUUCAGAAUUUUUGAAGAAAUUCAGAGAUUUAAUGAAAAAUCACAAUUUAACUAGUUUUACCUUAUUGGACGUAAUUUUCAAUACGACCAUCAGAUUGAGCUGAAGUUUUACGAGGGAUCUUAAAAUAUAUAGAAUAAAAUCUGGUUAAAAUUUUAGGAUGAACAGAGUUUUAUUUGCCAUUAAAAAAUAAAACAAAUCAACUCUUUCUUUUUUUCAUAUGUUGCCGACCGGUCAAAAGUAGAAUAAAAAAAAAACCAAAAGAAAAAGUGUGAGAGAAAGAGAGAAAAGUAAGGGAAAACUAAAUAUAAAAAAAAAUUCAAGGAAAAAAAAUAAGAAAAGUGAGAGAAUAACCUUGUAAACUUACAAAGUCCAACUUAUAAAACACUAAUCUAAGGAAGAAUCAAGUGAAGGAAGGAGGAAUUGAGAGAGGAAAAAAAUUUAAUUACUUUCUUUUCCAGUUGACAUGAGAUUGUUAUUUUAUCUCGGUUGAGGGGUUGUUAUAAUAUUGAUUCAGAUUCGAUUAUAGAUGAAUUAUAUUUUACAAAACAUCGAAGGAUGUAACUUCAAUAGUUGAUUUAUUUUUACUUUCACUUCAAUUUUAUGUACUUUCAAAUUUAUUUUUUAAUAUUUUAGGUAGUGUAUUUGAAUUAAAACUUUACUGUUAACUUUAAAAAUUCAUGUACAUGAGUUAAUAAUUAAUUUUAAAAAUAUAUAUAUAUUUAAUUAAUAGCUCAGGGCAAGAAAAAUUCCUGACUCGCCUUGCCCGCACCCAUUUACAGCACAGGAGCAAGCUCUUACUGGUUCCAAAUUCCAAGCCUUAACCCCAGGGAUGGGUCGACGGUCAGCUUGACUUGCUAGCAAUUGAAUACUAUGUUUUGAAAAAUUGAUCAGGUCGUCUGUAUCCUAAUAACCACCCAGUGGGAUGCCCCGCAGUGUUUAUCGGGCUAAGCAUAUCUUUCCACGAAAAAAAAAUCAAUGUGCAGUCAAUUUAUUAGUAUUGGGAUGAUAGGUGGGCAGUUUUUUUUAUGAACGAAGGCUGGUAGUUAGGUGGCUAGUGCAGAAUUCUGGUAUAUUAAUUUGUCCUGGCUCAGAGAUACUUUUCAUUGUUGAAGCCUGAAGAAGAUGUCCAAUCCUAAACAUGUUUUCCUACAAUAUCUUGGUCCUGUUGGCUACAUCACAGAAACAAGAGCACUGCAAGAGUAAAAUACUCAUCAAUGACAUCAACUUGCAAGCGACAGCCGCGACUGCCACAUCCAACUAUCCAUAAUACCAAAUUUUAUUCUAGGAUUUGUUGGAAUUAUAUAUUUUGGAGAUUUAUAGUUCACCUUUCCAGGUGUUUUUUUAGUAAUGGUCUAUUUACUUAAUUCAUUAGGAUUUAUGCUAAAUAUCCUUGAUUAUAAUAAAUAUAUAUGAAGAAUUAUGGACUACAUGUAUGUUUUGGUUAUUUAAAUGAUGCAAGCUUGAAACCUUUUCUUAUAGGAUUAGGUUUGUUUAUCUAGGAUUUGUUGAUUAGGAAAGAAUUAGCUUGACUAAGAUUGGGUGCUUUAUGUUAAACUUGGAUUAAUUUUUUUGUUUUAAAAGAAAAAAAUCAACAAAAUCAUUUAUUUUUAAGGAUUAACGUGCGUCAAAUUUAUCGACGAGUCUUCUAUUCAUAGGAACCAACAUUAUUUUUAAAAAUAAAUCAUGAAUAAGUUUAGAAAUAUAUCUAAGUAAUUAAUGGCAUGUAUAGAAUAAAUUUAUGAGAAAACACAUAGUAAAAUAACAUUUUUUUUCAUUUGAAAAGAUAUUGUAAAGGUGAUAUUUAUCUUUUCUUAAGCAUAAUUAACUAACUUAGUAGCUGAAUCUUUGAGACCGGUGUCAAUUUUAGAAUUUUUAGUUUUUUUUUUAAUUAUAUCAUAUAUAUUCAUAGUGAUGUGAUAACUAUGUUAAUGUACGAAACCGGGUUAGAUUUAAAAACAUUGUAGAAUAGAUCCCAUGAAAACAUAUAACAUUACUUUAUAUAAUAUUACAUGUGAUGGAAACAGGUACUAAAGCAGGCAUAAAAAAAAGUAAAAAUAACCAUCAUAAUAUUUCAUUACUAAUUAUUUGUCCAUUGCAUAGAGAAAUAACAUAAUAUUAAUGGGUAGAGAUAACAUAUAUAGUAGUGGAUAAUAUAUAUAUAUAUAUAUAUAUAUAUAUAUAUAUAUAUAUAUAUAUAUAUAUAUAAUUUGCAAUAUCAUAGAGGUGAUAUGCAAUAUCUAAACCCUUUCAUGCAUAUAUAAUUAAGGCAAGGCUAGCAACAUAAGACAGCUAAAUAUCCAUUAGAAUUUUAAUGGAGUCUUGAUGACCAGAGGUUUGAACCCAUGUUGGAUACUUGCUUGCCAAACUUUGUCAAUGUCAGCCAUGGUAGAACCGCAUUCAUGCUCGUCCCAUCCUUCCAAGGCAUGCACUAUUCCAGCCACACGCCAUGCGCUCAUCACUCUUCUUGGCAGCCAAUUCUGUCAUCAAGUAUUUUGCAAUACAAAUUAAUUAUCUUUCCUAAAUUAAGAAAAUAAUGCAAAUAGUACUUUAAUUUUCUGCAAUAUUUGACUAAUUAAUUACCUCGCAAGAGUCCACAUUUUCAAGAGAUGCAGGGGCUGCCAUUACUGGUAUGCUGUGAUAGAAGCAAUCCUUGCGCAAUUUCUUUGGGGGAAAUUGCGAGAAGGGAAUAAAUAAUGUUCCUUCUGCUGCUUGUUUUUGGUCCUCUUCUUUCAAUCCAUCCCCAACUAACCACGUCUACACAACAAAGUUUAUUAUGAUAUUAGAAAUGUCAAUAUAUAUAUAUGCUACUUAAAUAAUUUAAGUUGUAAUUUUAUUUUAUUUUUGACAAAAAAAAAUUGAUUUCUAAUUCCUUGGUAGCUAAUGAAAGCAUACCUUUAUUGAAUAACUCUUUGAAAGAAUUAGAUUGUUCUGAUCAGAUGUGAUGCCGAAAGAUUUUUUAAGUUUCUGGUAAUCAUCCUCACAUGGUACAACUACCUAAAAAAUCAGUGAAAAUAAUCGUAAUAAUUAGGAAUUAUAAAUUAAAACAUGACCAUAAAUUAAAUUUGCCUAUACAAUCAAUUUAAAUAAAUUACUGUCAAAUUGAAGCAAGUGACAACCUGUGCCUAUUUGCCUAGUAGACAACAACAAUACCUGGAUUCCCCUCUGGCAGAGAUUUAAAGCAACAGCAUAGGCAACCUUAGAGAGAUUGCCUCUAUGAAGCACUUGUGUUGUUCCUUUAGGUAUGCUAUUCAGCACUGCAGCAACGGCUAGACUGCUUCCAUCCACCACCUUCGUUUUGAGCCUGGGAUGCCUUUGCACAUAAAGUUCACCAUACCUAUUAAGCUCCUCUCCCUGCAUAAUUUAUGUUUGAACAUGAUGAAGAUAUAAUUAAUAAUUUAUGGUAUCCAUGAAAUAUGGGAAAUUGAAAAGAAAAAAAAAAACCCUAUAAACUCAACUACGUGGCAUCUAGUAAUGGCCGUUCUAAAGUAACCACCACUGUUUUUUUUUCCCUAGAAAUGCAUUAUAUUGAAGUGCUUGCCUGAUUCAAGAGACCGAGACUUAACACUUUAACACCUUUUUCCUCAGCUUCAAGUACAGCUUCUUCAAUCAAGGUAUUUAUGGAUACUUUUUGCCAUCGCAAGUUGUACUGCCAAAAAUUAGAUAAGCAAAUUAAGGAGAACAGAUUAAACUGAACGCCCUUGAUUAAUCAAUGACAAAGAAAUAUCCUUCUUAAUUACUUGAAUAUUGUAUUUUGGUAAGGUCCACGUCUGUAAUCUGAGUUUGUGGAAGCGAUUCCUCUCGACAACAAAAGUGCGUCCAUAAGUCCAAGUUAACAUCAUGGUCCACAAGGUCACCGGCCACAUUAACCAUAGAUACCACUUCGAUUCUUGAGGGUUGGAAGCCAAGCAGGCAAGUCCAAGCCGUAAAUGAUAGAUGGAAUCUGGUGUGGUAAGAUGAGUUAGAUGCACUACAUCAGGGGCUUCCUCGGGUCUCUUGAGCGAAUCUUCAUAGAGGGUAACAGAAGACGUGUCCAUUGUGCCAUAGAUGUAAUCAUAGAUGGGCAUGAAUAGUGAGUAAUUGGUUCUGAAUUGAGUGUGGUGAAGAGAGUGGUACCUGCAGCCAUAUCAAGUGUUUAUUAGUUCAUCAUGGAGGGAGUAACUAGUUCUAAACUGGCUUUGGUGAAGAGAGUUGGAACUUGCAGCUGCAUCAAAUGUUAAAUCAUGCAUUCGCGCUUAUCAGAUAUUGUUUUGAACACUGAUUAAUAGACAACGCAAUAAUGCACUGUCAGUGAAAAUAUAGUGGAAAAGGUGAAAUGUACGCGUCAAAGCUAUUAAAAUACAGUAUAAAAUCACAAAACGAUACUAUGGAAUUAUAAUUAACAGAGUAUUUUCCAUAGACGACUGUAUAUUCUUUUCAUCUUCUUUUUAUGCAAAAUUUGGUGAAUCAUUUUCCUGCUUUUUGUUCAUAAGUAUGGAAGAAAUCCCAUUAAUAAAACGAAGAGGAUACUGGUGAGAAUUAAUGAUUGAAAAUGCAAAAAAUCAACUGAGAUACAUCUAGACUUACGAUGGGGUGUACAUGAGGUACUUGAGAGGGGGGAAAAUGAUGAAGAGCCAUCUGGGAAUGAGUUCAAAGUUGCAGUGACCCAUGUUGUUCAUCAAGUCGAUGUAAGUGAUAUAACCAGCAAAGGAUGUUAAAGAGGCUGUCCCCGUCACAAUAGUCGUUAUCAAAGGUAUUGCGAAUAGCAUGGAGUAGGAUAUGUGCUCGGCGAAUGGAUGAAUCACAGCUGCGAUGCAGAUUUCCAGAAAGAAAAUGUCAAAUAAUUACACUUACUGUAUAUCAUCAUCAUGUAUUGCUAAUAGUAAUGGAGAAUGGUAUGCGUUCCCCUCAAUCACACAAGAUUUUUCUUCCGUUAUUAUAAAAAUACUCGAACUUAAAACCUUCUAUGAAAGGUCAAUUAAACUAAGUUUAUCAACGAUCACACAAGAUUAUUAAUAAUUCAAAUGCACACCAUAUAUAAAUGUGUGUCAUUCUUCUUAAGGAGUACUUAAGAGAUUAACUAUUCACUUUGAAAUUCUUAAAUAACUUUUAAACCACCAACACCAUAUAUACAUGGGGGCCGGGGGUGUUUGGAGGGAGACUUACAAGUAAUGGGCUCUGUGACAAUGGAGGAAUGGUGGUGGGAAUGAUAGCGAGAGUAGAGAUAGUGGUGAUGAAGAAGUCGAUGAAGCCAAUAAUACAGAAAUUCCACCGGACCCAUAUGAAUCAGAGCUGUUAGAAUUACACCAUCUAACCUCCACAUGGGGAGAUGGCUAGCUCCUGGAAUUAUUUUGCUACCAACGUAGAAUAAAAUUCCAUUGAACAAUAUUUGGUCAUCCCUGCGGAUAUCCAACCAGAAAAUCCAAGUAUCAAAAAACUCACAAGCACUAGCUAGAGUGGAAAUUAAUGCAUGAAAUUAUUGAAAAAGUAUAUAUAUAUAUAUAUAUAUAUAUAUAUAUAUAUAUAUAUAUAUAUAUAUAUAUAUAUAUUUGAUUAUACAAAUACCAGUUGCUUUCUCUAUCAACUUGAUCAAAUUCAAUGCCUUUGUCAAUAAUCCUGUUAUUUCCUUUGGCUGUUCUGUAACGGGACAGGCUGAUCCAUAACUGGUUGUGAAGCACUCUCCACAACAGAAUUGGGAAAAUGAGAAAGCUUGGGAGAUCUUUUUCAUCUUUAACCAUGAAGGCGUAGAUGUUGUGAAUGACACAAGGAGCCAAUAUUACAUGCUGCAAUAUUUAAACACACAAACAAAACACAGAUAUAUAUUAUUGUUUUAGGGUUAUGAUAUAUUAACGUUGUUUGCACGAAAACGAGUUACUCUACGUGUGAUAUCAGAUAACGAGAAGAAAAGGAGCGAGAGAGAGAGAUGGGAGGGAUUUCCAUAUGACCUUAAAGCUUCCAAGAGGUUUCCAUGGCCAGUCUGUGAGAAUUCCAGGCCGAGAAGCCAUCACUUCACUGCUACUACUUGUCUUUGUUUCCUCGCUUGUAGGGAAGUCGUGUAUAUAUAGACGAUGAGUAAUAUAUUUUCUUUAGCGUUAACGUUAUAAUUAUUGAUGAGUAAUGUUUUUUUAAUAACAGUACUGCCGCUCGAUCAAGUUAGAGCUGAGUAAAUUAUAAAUUAAUCCUUUUAAUUUUGGAAAAUAAAUUAAUUAGUCAUCUUCUUAAAAAAAAAAACAAAUUAUUCAGUUUUUUUUUAUCUAUUAUAUGUUAUUUUCUAAAUUAUGUUUUAAUAAAUAAAUAGAUAUUAUGGAAAGAUUGAUGAGAAAAGUAGAUAUUUUUGUAAAUAAAUUAAUAUGAAAGUAAGCAUGAUUAACAAUGAUAAGUGAUUAAAUAAUUAAAAUAGAUUGGUCAACCAUAUUUGUAAAACGAUACAUGUUUCAAUAUACUAAACUCUCUUGCAGGGUAUUUUUUGUCUUUUUACCAUGCUUUCUUUUUAUUAAUAUCAAGGUUACUCAUGAUGAUUAUUAUAUAUAAUCAUAUAUUAAAUAUUAUUAAAAAAAAUUUAGUUUGUGCGUCGAGCUAAUAAGCAGGCGUCAUGUCAUUUGGACAGUAUAUGUGAGGUCAUGCAGUUAUCAAACACCACCUACUGCAGUAGUAUUUGAAUCAUCUCAGCGUCCUCUCCUUAAAGAGGUGACACGUGUUUCAAACGACCCUUCAGUUUGGCAUCAAUAGUCUUUUCAUCCUUUUCUUUUUCUCUCUAUCUUGAUUUUCGCACUACCCCUUAAAAAUCUUAAAACAUCCCAUUCAAUUUGUAUUAUAUUAAGAUUUUGUUCUUUUUAUUUUUAUUACUAUUUGUUUUAUUUUGAAUAACUUAUAGAAUUAGAAUUCUUUUUCAAUUUCAUCCCCCUUCAAUUUUUUAACCUUUCAAAUUUGAUCAUCAUUCUUUUAAUUGUUGUUUAUUUUAUUUGAGAUAAUUUUUAAAAUUGAUUUUUUUUUCAUUUUAUCCUCCUUGAGUUUUUUCCUAUCAAAUUUGAUCCUCUUUCUUUUGAUUGAUAUUUUUUACUUUGAAAGAAAUUUUAAAUUGAUUUUUUUUUCAAUUUCAUCCUUGAACAUUAAAUUAAUUGGGAAUUGAGCUUUUCAGUUGAGCUCAGGUCUAGGAUUUCAUGGGCUGCAAGUUUUAGAGAUUAGCCAAGGUUUAGAAGGCUUGCUCAGAUUUACUUGAUUUUUUUUAUUCAUUUAGGCUUUUUUUUUAGUUUCAUCCAUUUAUUCAAUUUGAGAUUAAGCUCCAUUAUUUUUAUUUAUUUUAUUUUUUUAGAAUUUUACACUAAUUUUUAAAAUGUACCAGGUUAUUUUAGGUCUUUUUUUAUUUUUUGUUCUUUGUUGAAUUUCUUUUGCUAAUUUUUUAAAUUGAUAAUUUUUUUAUAAUUUCAUCUUUCAAUAUCUAGAAUAAUUUUUUUAUAAAAUUAGAAUUCUUUUUCAAUAUUGUCCUUUUUGAAUUUCUUAAUCUUUCAAAUUUGGUCCUCAUUCUUUUGAUUGUUAUUAUUUUUAUUUAAGAUAAUCUUUUAAAUUAAUUUUUCUUACAAUUUCAUCCUUAUUAGGCUUUUUCUAUCAAAUUUGAUCGCCAUUCUUUUGGUUGCUAUUUUUCUACUUUGACAAAUUUUUCAAAUUCAUAUUUGUUUUUCGAUGUCAUCCUUAAACAUUAAAUUAGUUAAAAAUGGAGCUUCUUGAUUGAGCCAUAGUAUGAGAUUUCAAUGUUGAAUGAUAUUGUGAAUUUCACUUUUGCUUCUUCCAAACAUCAUUUUGAGUUAAAAUUGACUAAAAAAUAUGAAGUUCGAGAGUUGAUAAUAACCGGAGAACUUGAGAAUGUUAUAAAGGCAAAUGAAGCUUCUAUUUUACAUCAACCUGAAACAACUAGUUAGGGUUCUCAUUUUAGUUCAAUAAGGAGUUUAAUUGAGUUAUUUGAAACAAUAAGAACAUUGCUAUUAAAGAUUGAUGAAAAUGGACCAAACUUUCAAUUUCAUACUAAGGCUUUCAAAUAUUAUUUUGCCAUGACAACUUUUGACUUUGUCAUUGUCUUACUUUUUACUAACAAAGUUAUGAGAGUUUAUUGAUUUUCUUUAACAAACGCUUCAAAGAAAAGAUUAGGAUAUUGUAUAUGCUUUAAAUUUUAUUUCACAUUCAAAUUUUCAACUUCAAUGUUUGAGGGAUAGCGAUUGGGAUGAUCUAUUUAAAAGUUUGGUAUUUUUUUAUGAACAACAUGAUAUUGAGAUUUUUGAUAUAAAUUCUCCUUAUUUGUUUGAUACAAGUCAUUCUUAUUAAUAAAGAGAUUCUAAUAUAGUUAAGUAUCAUUAUCAAUAUGAUAUAUUUAACACUGUGUAAUAUAUUUUUAACUGAUGGAGUUAAAUCAUAUAUUUUCAUAAAACACAGUGGAGUUGCUUUAUCUUGGAUCAAUAUUGGAUCAUUUUCAUGCCUUCACAUCAUUUAAAAUUGACGAUACAUGUAAGCUUGCUGAGAAAUUCUAUGCUGAAGAUUUUGCUCUUUUAAAUUUACAUGGUUCAAGAAUACAGUUGGAAUAUUAUAAGUUGUCAAUGGAUCAUCCAAACUUUGAGAAUAUUGAUUAUCUUACUACAUUGUAUCAUCAUUUAGUUGACACAGGCUUGAUAAAUGAUUUCGACUUGGUUAAUAGAAUGAUUCGAAUGGUACUAGCUCUUCUUGUUUCUUCAUCAAUGACUAAACAAACCUUUUCAUCUAUGAAGUUCAUUAAAAAUCAGCUUUGAAGUAAAUUGGCCUCUUUAGGCCGACACCAGCGCCGUCUCGUUGCCAUUAAGCCUGAGCUGUUCACAGUUGUAGAGAAAUUAAUUCCAUUUGCGUGAGUAGUAUUAAUCAAGAUAAUAAAUUUCAAACACCAUCAUCUUCUGGCGACCCUCGUCUGGUACAGCGGCUUAAGGAAAAUAGGAAGCCAAUGAGCUCAAGCAAAUGGACAUGUCCUUCAAACACGAGAGCACCUGCUAUUGCCCGGUCAUUUUACAUGGUCCCACCUAUGCUGGCGAUUAUUCAAUUCUUUUUUUUUAGUUUAACGUAGGUGUCCGGAUUAGCUUGCAUGUAUUUCGACUAAUCCCACGGGUCCUGAAGUUAACGACCAUGUAAGCCUCCAGUGGCCAUCAUAUGAACAACCACAGGGCUCGAACCUGAAACUACAGAGAAAGCAAACCUCUUGGUCCCAAACUUUUACCACUGGACCACCACCUAAAUGGUUGCGAUUAUUCAAUUCUUAUUGUGAGUUUCGUGAACCUUAUAGAAUUGUUUACUCUCCUGUUGGCUUGAAAUGAUUUUUCUGAUGAGUAUCUCAUAUGCAUUAAAUAAGUGGAUUUCGUUAAUCAUUCAUAUAAAACUAAUAGUUGGUUUUUUGGUAAGUAAAUUCUGUAAAAUACUUAUAUAAAAAUAGCAUUAUUUAUUAUAGAAAUGUGAUGUAAAUGUCAUUGGUUCUAUUAUGUUAAUGGGUUCCUGAAAAACUCUAACAAGUUUUUUUUUUCUUUUUAAUUACAAUGAACUAGAAAUCUUAAGUUGCAUGUAUAUAAAAUUAGUUUAAAAAGUGAUAAGAAUAUUUUUAUAUAAAUUUUUUUAUUUGUAUUAUUUUAAUUUUUUUUAAGUGAAGUUUAAAAAGUAAUUAAUAGAUAUAGUUGGUUAUUCAUUGAGUACUAUAAUUGUUUUUUGAACGCUUGAAUUUAUAUUGAUAUAGAAAAGAAUGAAGUUUCAAAAAUUGUGUAGUAUUUAUUUAAUCUUAAAUUUUAAAAAAAUGGAUAGAGAGAUGACAUUAAAAGUUUUUAGGUAAUUAGAUUAUGAAAACUUUUUUGUUUUUUUGAACGCAUCAAGAGCACUGAAAAACUAAUAAUAUUGUAACAUUAAAGUAUAUGUCUCGGUAUUGUAAAAACCGGAAGUAAUUAUAGCAAUUAAUAAAGGUACUACAUUAAAAAAAAAAAUAAGAGGAUGUUUUUCAGGGACAUGCGAGCAGGCUGUCUUUUCUCACUUUAAUAUUUCAUCAGAAAUAACAUCUCAAUAUAUGCCAAUAAAUGUGAGGGUGCGUGCGUUUUCUGGUUAUUCAACCUGGAUCAGCCUGAUAGGUGAUCCGAGACUUGAUUAAUCUAGUAGUUGAACCAAUUUAGAUAAGUUAAAAGAUUAGGGUAAGUAAAAACCCGGCAAAACCCGGAUGACCCCUCAGGUUAACUUGUAAGCCGGGCAACCCGGCAAAACCCAGUUUUUUUUUUUUCAAAUGUGUUUUUUUUUCUAGCCAAAGACCCCUCUUUUUUAUAUAUAUAUUUGGUUAAUUAUUAACCCUUUUCAAAGUUCACUAUAUAAAUACUAGAAGAAUGUUUUAUUUUUUCAAUAUGAGAUUUGAAACCUUUUAAUAUAUAUAUAUUCUAUGUUUACAAGAAAAAAAUUAUUUUUUCAAUAUGGGAUUUGAAGCUUUUUAGUAUAUAUAUUCUAUGUUCACAAGAAAAAAAGUUAUGUUUUUUCAAUGUGGGAUAAAAAACCUUUUUGGUUUAAAUACUUCAACUUAAAAGGAUAACAUACUAACAUAGUUUCUUUUGAAUGUGAGAUAAAAAAAUCUUUUGAAAUAAUUUUUUAAUCUUUAUUAUUGAUAAUAUGUAUAGUUGUCACUGGGUAAAUUUUUCGCUCCACAAAUAAACCCGUGUGGCAGCCUAGUCCCCACUAGACUCAGCCUUUCCUCACAAAUCUCACUCGUGUUUGCCUAGUAACUAAGUAUUUCCCUCACUCAAGAGGUUUUCCCCACUUUCACUAGUUAAAAGACAAGCAGAAUACACAAGUAAAAUAAGUUAAUUAAAGUACACAACAAACUUUACAUGAACUAUUUCUCAACCUUUAUUAAUCUCGUAAACAAAGGAAACACUAUACACAAAUCCCAUGUGUGCUAUGCACAAAGAUUGCAUGCUACACCAAGCUUACAUGCUCUAUUUCAUGCUCCUACAUGCUCUCCCAACCAAGAGUUGCAACAACUAUUUAUAGACAAGCAUUUACAAGGGAUAAUUUUAGCUGACUUUGGACCCGAUUUUCUCCUCUCUCAGACCCUCAAAAUCACCUUUAUUUAUAGAUGAUGGAAGAGGAAAAUCUUGUCUACACUUGGGGAAAAUUUCAGCCCAUAAUUCACUUGGAAAAAAUCCUAACUGUUGGUUCAAAAUAAGAAUUCUGAGUUGUCAAAUCUGCAGAAAAAACAAACUGAAUUGCCCUCUUUAGACCGGCACCAGCUCCGUCUCGUUGCCAUUAAGCCUGAGCUGUUCACAUGAGGUUGUCGAGAAAUUCCAUUUGUGUGAGUAGUAUUAAUCAAGAUAAUAAAUUUCAAACACCAUCAUCUUCUGGCGACCCUCGUCUGGUACAGCGGCUUAAGGAAAAUAGGAAGCCAAUGAGCUCAAGCAAAUGGACAUGUCCUUCAAACACGAGAGCACCUGCUAUUGCCCGGUCAUUUUACAUGGUCCCACCUAUGCUGGCGAUUAUUCAAUUCUUACUUGUAAGUUUCGUGAACCUUGUAGAAUUGCUUACUCUCCUGUUGGCUUGAAAUGAUUAAUUUUCUGGAUGAGUAUCUCAUAUGCAUUAAAUAAGUGGAUUUCGUUAAUCAUUCUCAUAAAUCUAAUAGUUGGUUUUUUGGUAAGUAAAUUCUGUAAAAUACUUUUAUAAAAAUAGCAUUAUUUAUUAUAGAAAUGUGAUGUAAAUGUCAUUGGUUCAAUUAUGUUAAUGGGUUCGUGAAAAACUCUAACAAGUUUUUUUUUUUUUUUAAUUACGAAGAACUAGAAAGUGAGAAGAUUGGACUUAAGUUGCAUGUAUAUAAAAUUAUUAUAAAAAGUGACAUGAAUAUUUUUAUACAGGAUUUUUAUUUUUAUUUUUAUUUUUUUAUAAUGAAUUUUAAAAAAUAAUUAAUAGGAUAUCACUGGUUAUUUAUUAAACAUAAAAAAAUUUAUUUUUGAAAUCUUAAAUUUAUAUUAAUGUGGAAAAAAAUAAAGUUUAAAAAAUUAUGCUAUGUUUAUUUAAUCUUAAAUUAAAAAAAUAAAAUUAAAAAAAUUAGUGUUCACGUUAACAUGAACAGUGUGAGUGAAUAUUAAUUAAUUCAUUGUCUAUUUUUUAAAAAAAAAUAAAAUUUAAAAAAUUAUGCCAUGUUUAUUUAAUUUUAAAUUAAAAAAAGAAGAUAAAGAGUUCACAUUAAGAGUUUUUAAGUAAUUAGAUUAUGAAAACUUUUUUUGUUUUUUUGAACACAUCAAGAGCACUGAAAAACUAGUAAUAUUGUAACAUUAAAGCAUACGUUUCAGUAUUUAGUAUUGUAAAACUGGAAGUAAUUAUUAACAAUUAAUAAUUAACGGCACUACAUAUGCGAGCAGGCUGUCGUUUCUCAUUUUAAUUAUUUCAUCAGAAAUAACAUGUGCCAAUAAAUGUGAGGGUGCUUUUUCUGCUAGCUGCGGCAAGGUUUGUUGCCGACAGUGAUUUUGUUUUCUUUUUUUGUUUUUUUCCUCAUCUUACACUGUUAUUCAAAAUUUUUAGAAUUGUCGUUGCCCGCAUUUUAACUUUGGAUUUUAUUUUUGUUUUUAUCUCUUUUAUAAAAUCUUAAUUUAUUUUAAAUUUUAUUAUUUAAUUUUAAUUUGUGAUAUAUUAUUUUUUUCAAUUUAAUCUUUAUUUUUUUAAUUAUUUUUUUUUCAAGUCCUUUUGUUAAAUUGAUUUUUCUUUUUGGUUUCAUACUUCAAUCAAAAAUUUAUUUUAAUUUUUAUUUUAAUUUUGAUCCUAAUUAUUUUGAUUGUUUUUUUAUCCUUUUGUUAAAUUAAUUUUUCUUUUUAAUUUUAUCCUUCAAUCAAAAAUAAAAUUUAUUCUUUAUUUCAAUUUUGAUCAUCAUUCUUUUAAUUGUAACCUUUUGUUUUGGAUCCUUAUAUAUAAUUGAAAUUUCUUUUCUAAUUACAUCUUUUAAAAUUUGAUUUAUUGAGAAUUGAGUUUUGUGGUUUUUAGAUUGGGUGCUCGGAUUUUCUCUACUUAUUUUAUUUUCGACAUUGGUUUCUUCAAAAAGACUUUAAAAAUAAAUCAGUUAAAAUUAAUUAUAUUUUUAUAUAUUUUUAAAUCAUUAAUAUGUUAAUGUCAAAAAUAAUUUUAAAAAAUAAAAAGUAUAUUAUUUUAAUAUAUUUCUGUGCAAAAAAUACUUUGAAAAUAACCACCAUCACGCUUUCAAACACUUAUAUAAUGAACCAAGCUUACUAUUUUAUAUUUCUUUGUGGAGUAGAAAUCCAUCAAGUGAUCCCUCAAGUUUUAAAAAUUAGCUAAAUCACCCUCUUUAUUUCAAUUUAUUUUAGGAUUUCUUUUCUCUUUUUUGUUAUUAUAAAGGAGAGAUUCAAACUUAAAGCCUCUUAAAGGAGAGAAGACAGUGAUACUAAUUGAGUUACAACUCUCCUUUUUUAUAAGAAAAUAAAUUAAUAUGAGAUGUUAACCCUCGUGUUUUGAAUUUGUAGUCAAGCAUGUAUGGUCAACCCUGGCGACUACAAACUGAACUGUUGUGCCUAAAAUUAAAGUGUAAUGGUCGAUUUAAUCAAUUUCCAAAACUUGAGGUAUCAAGACAUGAAUUUACUUUUUAGAAGAAAAAAGAAUACAUCGAAUGACCCUUCUUGUCGUAGUUUUGAAACUCGGCCCGGCCCGGCGGGUUGACCUGGGGCUGGAACCGAUCCGGGUUAAAGAAAAAAUGGGGGAAGGAAAAACUCGGUGUGACCCGGCGGAUUGACCCGGCGACCCAGUCAAGACCCGGUUGCAAACCCGUUGACUUUUGCUUUUUUUACUAAAACGACAUCGUUUUGAUUUAAAAAAAACUGACCCAGCCAACCCGGUGAUCUGGUCAAAAUUCAGAACCCGAGCCUUAGACCGGACCGGCCACCUGACCGGGUCUUAAAACUACGCUUCUUGUUUUGAGAGUGAAUAAUCAUACUCGUAGAAGUUUGGAAGCAUUUCCAUUUAUUCCCAAAUAAUCAUGCCAUUCACAUAUACUUAUCGUGUCUACUUGUAAUGUAUAUGUAAUAGUGAAUGUACCCAUGCCACGCUUUUGGUGGAAUUCCAAGUUAAUUUCAAAUGCAAAAGGAGAAUAUGCAUGUACUAUAUUAUAGAUGUGUUUUUUAAUCUCAUAAAAUUUGUUAAUUAAGGAAGGAAGGUUUAAUACAAUGAAUUGAAAAAAAUAUAUUAAUAGGUAAAUAAAAAAAUUAUGAAUGUUAAUUAAACAUUUAAUGUUAUUUUUUAAAAAUAAGAAGUAAAAUACAAAUACAAAUACAAACAUUUUACAUCGAUAUUAUUUUUAUUUUAUUUAUUUAUUCUGAAGCUAUGAUUACUAAAUACAUAUGAAUUUUAAUUUUAUAAAUACAAAAUACAGAUAUAACUAAUCUAUCUUAAAUCUAAAAUCAAAAAUCAAAAAUAAAUUAUAAUAAUUUUUUUUUGAGGUAUUGCAAAAUUAUAGAAACCAACCAAAACUUUUAUUUCUAUUAAAAAUAGUCAAACUAAACAACUUUAAAAAUGAGAAAGAGGAAAUUAAUUAAGAAUUAAACUAGAAAAAAAAACCAAUGAAAAAAAAAAAAGUCAAGGUUACUGGACCUAGAAGACUAAGUCCACUCACUUAACCUAAAAAGAAAAGGCCUAUACGGCCCGGUUCUCUAUUUUUUUUUUUAAAGAUAGGUAACAUGUUUUCUUUUCAAAUAUUUUUUUAAUUAAUCAAACGACAUGUCAUCUAUCUAGAUCGACAACAUAUCAUUCAUCAUUAUCUUAUCUAAUCACCUUCAAUGAUUGAAAAAUUAGAGUUUGACUUUUUGUAUUCACAAAAACAAUUUUCAACUUGUUUUAUAAAAAACACCCCUAAAAUAUUUAAAACUUCCAUAAACUCAUUCCAACCUCAGAACAUCAUCUAAUCACUAUAAAAAAUGAAAAUCUAAUAUAAGAAUAAAAAUGCUUUACGGACCUAGUCAUCCUUUUCUAGCAUGUUUAAAGGGCAACAUACCACCUUCAUUCUAUUUAAAAUAAACCAAUUAACACCAAAAUCAGUCUUUUGUGUUCAUAAUAUGGCUUACCAUACCAUUUCUCUUUCCUUUACCUUUUUCCAACAACUUUAUCUCCCCUUCCUCUGCAUCCAAUGUCUGAAAUGUAAAAGAAAACAAAUUAAAGUUUAAGAUUGAAAUAUAAGAACCUAAAACAACAAAAUUCAAAUAUGCAAAAAUUUAAAAAAAAAAUAAGACAUUAAAGUGAAUUUUCUCGUGUCUUUGGAUAGUAAACACGAAGAAAAGGCUUUAUUUUUUAUUUAUUUUAUUUUUGGUAAUUAUUCUAACUUUUUUGAACAAUAACCUAAAAUUCCAUUUUAUAAAAUUGUUCUUUCAUGUAAUAUCAAAAUAUUCUUUAACAUCUCGCACACACGAAAGUAUGUGAAUAAAAAAAAUGUCAAAAUAUAAAAUCAUGAUAACAUAACUUUUGAGGACGAGAUUAAAAAAAAACUCUUAAUGAUCAAAACAAAAUGAACUAAAAACUUGAGGGUCCUAGAAUGAAAAAUUGUCUAAUAAACUGGGAAAUGAGUGUUGAUAAGAACAAUGAUUUCCUAGAAUUUUUUAGUUUAUUAAGUAAUAAUUACACAAAUAAAUAUUUUUUUUUUGGGUUACAACAAAUAGGUGUUUUAAUACUUAAAAGUUAUUCAAAUAUCAAAUGUAAGAUUUGAUAAGAUCCAUUCCUAUAUUUGAACAAAUUAUAUCUCUUUAAAUCAAAAUUAAUUCCUUAUGUAAUUUCCCACAUAACAAAUACAAGUUAUACAACAUAUGAAACAAGAUGAAUAUAACUUGCUUGGAUUAGCUUGAUAUGGAAGUAGGGAUGAUAAUGGAUGGAAUUAUAGUAAUUUACUUCCUAUGUUGUGUAUCUUUUCUAUUCGUUCAAAUUAGAUCAGAUUGAAGAAUUUAUUCACUUAUUAAGUAAUCAUUAUCCAUUCUAAUUUGUUUUUCUAUUUAAAAAUGAAUAAUUAUGUUAUUUUUAAAAACCAUAUGAAAUCACAUAGUUAAAGCAUUGAAAUAAAUAAAUAUUUAUUCAUAAAUCACAUUAAGAUAAAAUACAAUAAUAAAAAAAUGUUAAGUGAUAACAUAUGAAAAUCUCCAUUCCUCCCUUCAAGGUAAAAUCAAGUAUAAUUCAAUCCUUUUAUUUUAAUGAAACUAAUUAAUUAUCAUCAUGAGUUUAGAAACUAUAUAUUCAAUCUUAAAAUUUUAAAAUAUGUUUAUGCAUUAAUAAGAUGGACAAUCCAUAAUCCUUUUUUUAUCUUUCUAAAGCUCAUGAUUACACCUCUAAACACUAUAAGAACUGAGGUAUUCACUGUUAUCAAACAAAAAUAAUUUGUCACAGUAAAGAAAAAUCAAUUAAUCUUAAAAAAAUACUUCCCCAUUUGCCUCAAAUAAAGAUAUGUUUAUUGAACAAACAAGGUUUUUUAAAGAGAGGGCAAAGAUAUAGACUAAAGCCAUGAAAAGAAAACCAAUCGACCUCUAUGAAAUAUGUUUUCAUUUACUUUAAAGAUAAGAAAACUAUGUUUAUAAAACAAAUAAGGCCUCCAAAAGAGAGACCAAAUAUAUGGAUUGAAGCCGUAAAGGGAAAACUAAUUAGCCUUUAGGAAAUGCGCCUCCACUUUUCUUAAAGGUAAGAAAACUAUAUUCAUGGAACAUAUAAGGCCUCUAAAAAAUAGACUAAAGAUAUUGACUAAGGUUGUAAAAGAUGAAAAAGAAAUAAGUCUCUUUGAACAUGAUACUAGUGUAAUCAUUAAGAUUAGAUUUGCAUUAGACAUCGGGUAGGAGAAAGCCAUCACGAAGCUUUUUAAAAUUCAAAGGGCUAAUUUUACUUUUAAUCCCUCUGAUAUUCUAAGUAUAGGCUAGGAUGUGGUCUCCCAUAGAUCAAACGUCAAUUUAUCUCUCAUUGUUACUAGACAAAAAAAGAGUUUUAAAGGGAAAGAUAAAAGGUCAUAAUCGAGGAGGUAGAUAAGUUGCUAGAAGCAUGUUUCAUUUGAUAAGUAAUGUACUCUAAUUAGCUUGCCAAUAUGGUUAUGGUGAAAUAAUAGUCUUGAAAGAUUAUCAUGUCCUUUUUCAGUCGUUGAUCUGCACCCAUUGCAUCUCCUCGUUUGAUGCUAUUAUAGUAUAAGAACAGUUGGCUUGGAAAACUAGUUUUGAUGUGGAUUUUUUGCUCUAUAUAGCAGUAUGUUCAGUGCUGCAAAAUGGUUAUUAUUUCAUUCAGGCAAGAGUACAAAGGACAAGGUGUAAAGGGGGGGUUUGUCUUGUGUAAAGGAGAAAAGAGCGAGUUUUAAACCUUGCACACACACACAGAAAGAGAGAGAGAGAGAGAGAGAGAGAGAGAGAGCAGUUGCCCAUUCAUUCUGUCUCACGGGAAGUUGAAGACAAUCUAUAGUGCUUCCUAAAAUAUAUAUAUAUAUAUAUAUAUAUAUAUAUCAAAACGAGUCGUUUCAUUUAAAUGAAACAGUAUCGUUUUGACGCUUAAUGUUUGAAUUAGGUUAAUUCUUCUUUUUCAAUUUCAAUCUUCCAAUUUAUUCAAUUAGGUCUUUAAUUGAAUUUUAGGAAUCAAUUCAAUUUUACCCCUGUACAGUUUCAAAAACAUCCCCUGAUUUCAGUAUGUUUUUCAUCUUGGUCCUUGGUUUUGGAUUUAUAAAAAUUGAUCCUCAAUUGAUCAUUUAACAUUUGAUUUUCUUCAAUUUGGCCCAUGAUUUUAUCGAUUUCAGCCCCUGAAGUCUCGCGCCUCUAACAAGUCGAUCCCUGAUCUUGAAAUUCUUUGAUUUUGCUCUUAAUUGACUCCAAAACUUUAUUUUUCUUGAAAUGUUGUCCUUAUUUUCACCCAAAUGACUUUGUAGAAAUUAAAUUUUGUCCUUUAAAAUUCUAAUCUUCUCAAUUAAGUCCAAAUUAGGCUUUCAAUCUUAAUUUUUCAUCAAUGAAGUCUCUAGUAAAAUUAAAUUGACCCAUUAAAAAUCUAAUUAAAUCCUUGCACUUAAUUAAAUCUUUUAAUUUGACCCAAAUUAAUUCUUAAACUUAAUUAAACCUUUAAUUGGAGCCAUGAUUAAAUCAAAUUGACCUAUCAAAAGUCUAUUAAGUCCUCAUACUUAAUUUUUAUGUAAAUUCACCUAAUAGUCAUUUAAUUUGGCCUUAAUUUGUAUUGUCUCUCAGUCUUGGAUUCAAUUGGUUUAAUUGGGCUCCAAAUUAUGUUCAAAAUCCCAAUUUAAUUCCUCCAAGUGCUUGAAAUCCUUCUUAGCCUACUCUUACUAAUAUUUUUUAUUUUCAUUUUCAUUGUUAUUUUUUAUUACUUCUUAUUUUAUUUUAUUUUUUUGUAUUUUGAAAAUAUUUAGAAACAGGGAGUCAAAAAUUGGGUUAUAAAAAAACCAUAGUUUCCUUAUUUCUAUUUUGUGUAUCAGAUCUAGAACACCUUCUAAAACGUUUUGACACAAAUUAUUGAAAGAAUGCCCAAUUACUCUUUGUGAAAUACCUCGGUUUAAUCUUUUCCACUUUUCAAUGUCAUGUUAGAGCUAACUUUUCUAAUUACUUGUUUAUGGGUAUCGUACCACAAAUCAUGCAACCUGUUAUAGAAAUUUGUUAAACAAAAAAGAGGCAAGGAAAUAAAAGAAUACAAGUUUAUAAUAAUAUAACAUCAAUUAGUUUAAACAUACCUAGUUGCACAAUGGUUUUCCCACAGUCUUUUAACAAGUGCCUUGUUGCUAUUGUCCCACCAAAAAAAUUUCUUAAUUGAUUUCAUACAUUAAUUAGUUUUCAAAUUUUAAAAAACUAGUAACUCAAAAUAGAUAUUAUUUAAUUAUCUAACCUUAAACUUUCUCCAUCAAACAUUUACCAUGUUCAUCCAUUCAGGAUGCUUAUAAAGCUCACUCUAUUAAACAAUGGUUCUUUAAACAACCACUUCAUUGUAGAGGUUAUCGAACAUGCAACUUCAAUAUUGGUGAACUUGAAAACCAUUUCAUCAAUGUUAUUUUCAUGUAAUAUAAAACUUAAAAUAACUUAAUAGAAUAAAUAACUUCAAUAUUGAGAUAAAUAUUAAUUAUAUACAAUGGUCGCCUUUCCAUUAUGCAAUAAUUUUGUCUGAAAAAGGCCCUAACAAAGUAGGGAUGCCUACUAUGUUAUCCUUAUUGGUUGAGCCUUGAUCGGUAACUUCUACAUUAAGUGGUGUGUCCUUAUAAUCAUCAUCUAUAUUAGCAACACAAUCACCGACACUAAUACUUGAUAAAGUAGUAGCGCUCUUAUUAGACUUAGACAUAUUUCUUCUUGAAUAUAUGGUACCUAAAAAGAAACAAUAACAUAAUGACAACACAUACUCAUGGAAUUUAAAUUCAAACUCAUACAAGCCAAAUUUUAUUUUGUCAAAUUUUCUAAUAAACAUGCUAAGAAAAUUAACACACAAAGAGAGAACAUAAAACAAAAACUAAAAUAUUCAAAUAUGACUCUAUAACCAUAUCAAAAUAGCAUCUCACUUCAUCAAAAAACCAAUUAUUACAUUUCCUUUCAUAGAUAACACAUCUAAAUUAGUAAAAGCCUUCACCUUUUUAUUUGUGCUACUCCACAACAAGUACAUUUAAGGAAUCCAAAUCAAGCAAAAAAUGAUAACAUUAUCCCUACAUAUAAAAAAACCAUAAUUUCUCAUUUUUCCCGUACUUUCUUAGCUACCAAACAAAUAGGUUACUUACAGAAACAACAAAAAAUAAAUUAUAUUACUAAAAACAAUCUCUACCCCCUCAAUCACCUAAACUUAACCAUAAAUUAUCUUCUCUUCACUUCACUAUUGUCAUAACCCAUUUUUGGGUUAUUUCCUAAUUCAUAUUUUUUUCUCUCUUCAAAAAAUACAAAAAAAUAAAAAAUAGUAUCAAAAAAUAUAACAGUGAAAAGAGGAUGCUAGAACACUAAAAAAAUGGUUAAAAAUUGGUUGAGGAGGUUCAAAACUACAAAGGUUAAAAUUUUACGGUAUUUUGUUGAUUGAUGAGAGCCCUGUUGACAAAGAAAAUUCAAUUUGAGGAUGAAAAGUCCAAAAUCAAACAUUUAUGGACUCAAUUAAAUUUUAUUGAAGGUUUAAUUGAAUUUAUGGAGAAUUUGAUUGCAAGAAAAAUUGAUUUUUGGAGUGAAUUUGGGCUUUAAUUGGAAGAAAUUAAAGUUUUGUGGUCAAAUUAUAAUUUUUUAGAGUUAAUUUGGUCAAAUCAGGGGCUUAAUUGCAUAAAUAUUGAAGUUUGAUGGUCAAUUAGAGACUUAAUUGAAGAAAUCAGAAACCAAGGACCAAAAUGAAAAACACGCGUAAAUAGAGGGGCUGUAAUUAAACCGAAUCAGGGGCCAAAUUGAAGAAAUUAGAGUUUAUUGAUCAAUUGAGGGUUAAAUUGCAUAAAUUAAAGACCCAAGACCAAAGUGAAAAUGGCGGCCAACUUCAGGGCCACUGUUUUCUUUUUGGCAGGGAUGCAAUUGCAUUAAUUUUUAAAUCAAAAUUGUAAUUGAGGACUUGAUUGAACAAAUCACAAAUUGAGAACCAAUGUGAACUCUGACACGUUUUUUUUUGCCGCCUUUUCCUUUUAAAUGAAACGGUGUGUUUCUUCUAAAACGGCGUCAUUACAUACACUAUUCAUUAAAAAAGAAGCAAAAAGCUCAAAACGGUGUCGUUUUGAACGACAGUGUAGCCUUUCUUGUUCCCCUGGACGCGCGAGGCAGGGGAAGAAGAAGUCUUUUCUCCCCUGCUUUGCUCGUUCCCUCUUUCUCCGAAACCACCAAAAAGACGCCGACCCAAAACACCCCACUUGCCUAAGUUCUGACCUGUGGCCUACCACGAGGUAAAGAAAAACAGAGGGGAUGCACCACUUGGGCGGUUGUGAGGUCGCUGCACAGUGGUCGCCCCUGCCUCUCUCUCCCCUCUGUUUUACCUAUAAAUACAGAGGGGGAGAGCACAAAAGGAGAGCACGAAAAGGACAGGGGGAAAGACCGAAAGAAAGAAAAAACAAGAAGACCCAAAGAGGAAGAAAGGUUGGAAGAACAAGAGAAGAAAAAAAAGAAAAAAAAGAGAGAAAAACAGGGGAAGACAAGGGGGAAGAAACUGUCCACCGCCUGCAACCACCACCGGCCACCACAGCAUGCCAUCGCGAACCACCAGCAGUGCCACCGCUUCAGGUAACUGGCUCUUCCCCACCGUUUGUUUCUUUGCCGGCGUCGCUUGCAUUUUUGUAUACAGAAUGUUAAUAUUUCACGUUCUGCUGCAAAAUGCAACGUGGGCUGGUCAUUAUGCUGAUGCACAGUAACCAGCCCAUUUGGGCAUGGGCCGAGACAUCAGCCCAGCCCAUAGUAGAUGGGUUGGAUCCGGCCCAGCCCAGAAGGGGGUGGGCCAAGCCCAACCCAGUUUUUUUGGGAAUUUUACUAUUUCCUAUCUUAUUUUUACGUCUUUUUUUAUUAGUAUCGAAAUAUUUUUUUACGUCGUUAAAAAUACAAAUCCGGUAUUAAAAUACCUAGUUUUCGUCAACUUAAAAAAAAAUUGAAAUAAAUGUUUUUAUGCAUACGUCCAAGUGUCUCAAAGCUAAAAAAUCAUAUUGUGUUUUUCAUACACCAAAAAAACAAUGUUAUAGCAUGCAUUUUGGCUUUAAUAACCAGUUUAUUAAAGUCAAGAGAACAUUGACCAAAAUAUAAAAAAAAAAGAAUUUAUUUUGUGUUGUUUUAGUAUUAAGGAUUACGAAUUUAUAUGUAAAACAUAUUCCCGAUAUUAAAAAGGUAUUUUCUUUUGACGACAUAGAACAGUUAGGUUUUUACCCGAUAAGAUAAGGAUCUCCUUACAGAGGAGGACUUUUCUUAAAUCGUAGACAGACCGACAAUUAGAAACCAUAACAAGACUUUAGAUUUUAUCAGACAACAAAACAAUGCAGCUUACCUUAGAUAGCGCGUAGUUGGAGUGCUAAUACCUUCUCUUUACGCAACCAGUCUCCGUACCUGAUCUCCGAGACCAGUUAGGGUUCUUAGUGACCAGAACACUAGGUGGCAACUCUCAUUCUAUUUUUACUGAUAAGAGACAAGAAUUCCUUGUAUCUUCAUAUUUGCCAGAUAGACCUAUAGACCAUUACAUUUUUCUUUGAGUGGGUGGACGAUCGUCGCAACGCUGAACACGUGCGACAACUAUUUAACCAACCAAGAAACCAUUUUUGAUACUUAAACAAACUCUUUUACGAAGAUCUCAAAAAUUCACUAAUCUCUUUUUCUUAGUUAGCUAAAUACUUAAACUAUAAAUUAUAAAUCAUUACCCCACUUUUCCACCAACCAACCAAGAACCCAAAUCAUCAAUAAAAAUAAUCCUCCACUAAACCAAGUAAAAAAAUAAACAUUUAAAACAAUACCUAAAAUUCAAAAAACAAUCUUCCUAUAUUACCAACAUGCAAAAAUUAACAAAACCCAUAAAAACCUAAAUCACAUAAACCAAAUAGCAAAUAAAUUACCUUCAAAUCGGGUAAAAACCAUAACCUAAACUUAGGAUUUAACAAUGCCAAGUCCUAAGUUUAUUAAAUGAAGAAGAAGAAAUCAAACCUCAGAUGGGUAGAAAAGAGGUAUUGUCGACGUCGGAUGUGUGAGUGGGGUAGGGGUAAGAUAGUUACUGUUGUUGUUUUGAUGAUAAUGAAUAAGAAAAAGAAAAAGAAGAAGAAAAAGAAAAAGAAAUUGGAAGAUGAGAGGAACUCUGAGUUUUAAUUCAUUUUAAAAACAUCAAUGAAAAAUCAUUUAGCAAUUUAAAAAUAUUAAAAUACCAAUGUAAUUGUCGACAAAAUAUUUUUAUUUUUUAUUCCGUUUUUGUUCCCAUAAAAAAUUAUUGAAGAAAAUCUUUCAUCGUAAUUUCCAUCAGUAAAUAAUUAUGAAACAUUUUUUGUCAUGUUUUUGUUAUUAGUGCAUGCCCACAUCUAUUUGUUUUUGUUACUAUUCUCCAAUUUUUUAGUGGUGUAUGCUCACGUCUAUGAGCAAGUUGGUUUGUUUUUGCAAGUAUAAAUACUUCAUGAAAAUGUCCGGCAAGGGAGGACACAAAAAAAGAAAUAGAUAGACUCCUACAAGGAGAAAACAUUCUCAUGUGCGGAAAGGUCCAGAAUCCAUCAAGGUUUUCAGCAAGGAAGGAAGAUGAUAAAAACUCUUGCUUAAAAUGAUUCAUGCAUGCAUGUCAUAUAAAAAAGAGAAAAGAAGAGAAAACUCUUUUGAGAGACUACGACCGUGUCUUCAUCACAAAAUUGAAAAUUGAUUAUCAUCUUUAUAAAUUUAAGAACUCGAGGUCAGUCUGUGAAUUUAAUGGAAAUUAAUGCAUGAAAUUAUUGAAAAAGUAUAUAUAUAUAUAUAUAUAUAUAUAUAUAUAUAUAUAUAUAUAUAUAUAUAUAUAUUAAGGCAAGAGACGAUAUACAUGUAAAUACUCUUAUAUACUAUUGUAUAUAGGAAAUAUUGUAGACAUACUCUUGUGUGGUAACCUCCGCCAUUACUAUUGUAUAUUGCCCUACAUAUAUAUAGAAAGGGUUGGCUAACCAUUAAGUUAAGCCUUCUAAUUAUUCUCAACUUGGUAUCAGAGCCUUUUGCCGUCAGAACUCCUUUCUCCCUCCCUCCCUUUGCAGCCGGCCCUCUCUCUCUUUUUCCUCCAUGGAUUCUACAGCUGCCGCCAACUUCCCUCUCUCCACCGGUGGUGCAGCACAGCCGGCCAGCCAUCCCCAAGCUGCUGCCGGUGGUAUCUUUUCUCCCUAACAGCAGCCUCCACUUGCAGAGCAUGUCUCUGAUUCUUCUUCACAAGUCUCUGUCGUUCCUUUGCCUCUCAUGGGAACACACACUCCAGCUAUCGUUCCUUUAUCAAACACCCACCAAGUUGUUUCGUUGAAACUUAUAAACACAAAUUAUCUCUAUUGGCGAAUGCAGAUGAAGCCAUAUCUCCUUGGUCAAGGUGUUUUUCACUUCGUUGACUGCUCCGUGCCGUGUCCUCCAUCUCAUAUUUUUGACAGUUUUGCUGGUUCUUCAUCUACCACCAGCCCUUCUUUUCUUCGUUGGAAGCAACAAGAUCAACUUAUUUUGAGUGCUUCACUCUCCUCUCUCUCUGUGGAUGUGUUGCAUCUCGUGGUAGAUUGUUCUACCUCGCAUUGUGUUUGGCGCACUUUUGAGAAAGUGUUUGCCUCUCCGUCUUAUUCUCGCAUCAUGCAACUCCAUGGCUCCUUUCAAGACCUUCGUCAAAGUGACUCAAAUGCACACCAUAUAUAAAUGUGUGUCAUUCUUCUUAAGAAGUACUUUAAGAUAUUAAUUAUUCACUUUGAAAUUCUUAAAUAACUUGUAAACCUCCAACACCAUGGGCCCGGGGGGUGUUUGGAGGGAGACUUACAAGUAUGGGCUCUAUGACAAUGGAGGAAUGGUGGUGGGAAUGAUAGCGAAAGUAGAGAUAGUGGUGAUGAAGAAGUCGAUAGAGCCAAUAAUACAGAAAUUCCACCGGACCCGUAUGAAUCAGAGCUGUUAUAAUUACACCAUUUAACCUCCACAUGGGGAGAUAGCUAGCUCCUGGAAUUUUUUUGCUACCAACAUAGAUCCUGGAAUUUUUUUGCUACCAACAUAGAAUAAAAUUCCAUUGAACAAUAUUUGGUCAUCCCUGCGCAGAUAUCCAGCUAGAGAGUGGAAAUUAAUGCAUGAAAUUAUUGAAAAAGUAUGUAUAUAUAUAUAUAUAUAUAUAUAUAUAUAUAUAUAUAUAUAUAUAUAUAUAUAUUAAGGCAAGAGACCCUAUACAUGUAAAUACUCUUAUAUACGGAUAGUUAUUAUGUGUAAUACAUUCCAAAUUAUAUUGUACACAACCCUAAAGGUAUACUUCAACAAUCUGCUGCCGCUGCAUCAGCACUUCGGUCUUCUUUCUCCCCUGUGGCGCAAUCAGUUAUCUAUGGCGUAUCCACUACUGCUGCCAUCAUACCUAUUCUUAAAACACACCAGGUAGUCUCUUUAAAACUCUCCAACACCAAUUUUAUGUAUUGGAGGAUGCAGAUGAAACCGUUUUUUUAGGCCAAAGCGUGUAUUCCUUCGUUGAUGGCACAUCAUUAUGUCCUCCUUCACAUAUGGCAUCUACUGCGACAUCAGCACUCUCUGUCAACCUUGCAUAUUUGUCAUGGAAGCAGCAAGAUCACUUAAUCAUGAGUGCCCUCCUAUCUUCUGUCUCGGUGGAAGUUCUGCACUUAGUUGUGGAUUCUAACACCUCUCAUGACAUUUGGACAACGCUGGAAACAACUCUUGCCUCUCCUUCAAAUUCUCGGAUUAUGCAACUUCACGACCCAUUCCAAGAUUUACAACAGACUGAUGAUUCUGCCAGCAUCUACUUGCAGAAGGCAAAGAUCUUAUUUGAUGAACUUGCUACAUGUCAUGUGCACCAUUAAAACCCAAUGUUUCAAGCAUUUGACUUGUAAUCAAACGGCUAUCAAUAUUCCAUCCUUUAGCAUACUUGAGGGUAUACCACUAGUUGCCCGCAAGAUCUGUGUGAAGACUCCGAGACAUAGUGAAGAGGAUAUUGUUUUGUCACUGUGUAAUAUAAUCUGCCUCAUUUCUUGGCCAUUGUUAUUAGCAUGCUAGUUUUAUUUCGAAGAAAGCAAGCUCUGCUUCCUAGUAAAAGUUUUUCUUUAUAGUUUGAAUAAACCUCCAUUGCUAGGUUAAAGUGAACCAAACCAGCAGAAACGAACUAAGUGAUUACAUUGAAAAGCCCGUAGAUUGCAAUGUUUUUUUUCUAGAAAUGCUAGAGAGCUUCCCAACUCUCUUUCUUUUUUCUUUUCAUUUUUGUCUUUUUUAAAAUAAAAAAAUUCCAUCCUGAAACGUUUUUUAUUGAAUUAUUUUUUAUGACUAAAUUCUAUGAGAUAAAGUUUUAAAAAGUUGCGGAAAGAUAAAAUUAAAAGAGAAAGGAUAAUAAUGUAAAACAUACAAAAAAUACGUGGUUAGUCUCAAAGUUUUUAGAAUUUUGAUUUUGAUCCAUAGAUUCAUUUUUUUAUUAGAUUUGACAUCUAAGAGAGAACAUUAUCGAAAAUGGCAAAUGAGAGAAAAAGUUGUCAAUUGACCAUAUUCUAACAACAAAAAAGCACAAUCUUGGUAUUAACGGUUUCAUUCAAUAGAAAGAUUUUCAUUGAAGUGUUUUUUCACCUUAAUUUAUCUUUUCAAAAAAAAUAGAUCAAGGUUGUGAGAUGAUUUUUUACCAUUUUGAUUUUAUGUUUUUAAAAGUGCUUUGCGUUGAUAGAUAGUUUAUUGAUAUUAUAAGGAUGUUUAUUAGGUGUUUUCAAAUGAAAAUAGGUUGGAAAAAUAAAUUAUUGAGUCGAAAAAACCCUAACUAGAUAUGAUUGGAAACUAAGCAAGUAGAUAAUGCGCAUUGUCUACUUUUAUUUUAUUUUUUUUAAAUGGGCCAGGCAUUGGGCCACAUAGACCCAACCACCUAGCCUUUGUAUAUUUGAUUAUACUUUUUUUUUCUAAUUAAAUUUUAUGAAAAUAAAUAAAUUCAAAAUAUCAUUUUCAAGAAUAAGAUUAUAGUUGUUUUUUAUAAAAUUAACAAGCACUUUUUUUUACAACCCUUUGUGACUUGUAUAUAUUUUUUUUCUUAAAUUUUGAUUUUGGGAUUUUUUGCGCAAUUGUUUUUUAUUAUCACAUGAUCGCAAAAAAAAACAUAGUCAAAAUGUUUUUGAUGUAUUAUUUUUAUAUUUUUGUAAUACAUUCGAGACCUAAUAAUGAAACCAUCGAUUAUUGUUUUAUUAGAUUUUUCUUUUACGACCCUAAUAAUUUUUUGCUUCAUAAAAUAACAUUUUAAUAAAUACUUUUCCAAAAAAGAAAUUGAAUUAAUAAAAUAAAUAGGUUUUAAUUAAAAGGAUGUUGUUUUUAUCAUUAUUUUGAAUCCCUUAUAGCCUAUUAGAUAUUUAUUUUAAUGGCCUUCGGAUUUUAUUAAAUGAAGUAUAUUGCUUAAAAAGCUAUGUUUUUUUGUUGAAAAAAAUAGAUUAGUAAAAAAAUGAAUUAUAUUAGAAAAAUAUUUAUUUCAAUAAAAUUUAAAUUAUUUUAUUUUUUUAUAAAAAAAUCAUUACAUAUAAUGACUUAAAAAAAAUAUAAAUUGUUUUAUAUGGCACGAGAUUUAAUAUAUUAAUCUGUAUUUAUUUCUCAGUUUUCCAAUUUAAUUUUUAAUAUUUAGUUAUAUAUAAAUUAUUUUUUAAAUUAAUUAAUUAAAUGCAUGUAUUAAAUUCUUACACGUAACAAAUUUUCUUUAAACUAAAAAAGCUCAAAUUAUAAAAUAAAUUUUGAGCCGAGGCGAGCAAAUUUGGCCGGUGAAUUACUAUAUAACAAUUUAACUUCAUACAAUGUCGUGCUUCAAAAAUUCCAGAUGUCAAGUCCAAGAACGUUCUGAUUAUUGUCUGAAAAAUCAAAAUCACUCCCUCUUCUUGCAACAACAUAUUGACCCCACCUUAAUAUUUUCUUUGGAGGGCAGCCAGGCUUUCUCAGUGUUCCAUUUAUCUUUUCUGUGAUGUAAAUUCUCCAUGCACCAUUUUUAUCAAAUUCCUACAAUACCCAUGUCGGUUUUGUAGCAUAAUGUUCCACAUCAAAUUCAUGGUUAAUAUAUUUUAGUUAUAGUUUUGUUUUGUAAACUAAUUUUUAUUUAAAAAGUAUUAAAUUAAUGUUUUUUAAUAUUUUUUAUAGUGUUAAAUCAAAAAUUAAAACAUCUGAAGAUGGGCAGAUCUGAUAUCUCUCAUUGGACAAAGAAACAGGUACACACAUAUCUAUGCAUUUAUAUAAUCUUCAAUCAGAGCAAACUAAAGAGUUCUUUAUUCGUUCAUUGAUUGAAUGGGAUGAAUGUAUCAUAUAUUCCUUGCUUAAUGUUCAAGAUUUGCAAUCUUAUUAAAUCACUUUUUUCUUAAUUAUCAGGUUGUGGAUUUCAAACCAAGCAUAAAUAUAGAUUUGGGUGGUUUAGCAUGAAGCUGAAAUUGGUUGGAGGUGACUCUGCAGGUGUUGUGACAUGACAGCUUAUUAUGGAAGUCUUUCUUCUACCGCCCCAUACGCUCAAAAUGCCUUAAAGAUUCAUGGCUGUGAAGCUUAAUCAAAGACUUCAUAAAUAUUUUAACUAUUUUUUUGUACUUAAUUCUAGCUUGACAGCAAGUACAGGAAAUUAUCAGGGACGGAGGCUAAAGUGGAUUCAUCUGUUUUUUUGCAGAUGUGUACAGAGAAUGGGGCAGGGCCAACAAGAGAUGAGCUGGACUUUGAGUUCUUGGGGAAUAGAACUGGAGAACCCUAUUUGAUUCAAACAAAUAUAUACAAGAAUGGUACUGGUAACCGUGAAAGGAGGCACAUGCUUUGGUUCGACCCUACCGAGGAGUUCCACACCUAUUCCAUUCUCUGGAACAAUCUACAGAUAGUGUAAGUCCUUCGAUUCUAUGCUACAGCUAGAUCAAGGCACCUGAUGAUUCAAGUUUUCAUGCUGCAAUCUUGCACAAAAGCAAAAGCAAAAAAGAAAAUGGCAAAAACAGUAGAUUAAAGGGCUGGUUGCGUCCCGGUGUGUUUGGUAACGUAGAUGUUUUUCCAUUGAAAAUGCAUAUUACAAUUAUGUUUUUAUAUUAACACAUUAAAAAACACUUAAAAACAUCAAUUUAAUAUCUCUGAGACGAAAAGCAAUAGCUACUGCAGGAAGAGAUAAACAUUGUGGGAACAGUCAAUAAAUAAGCCUCAGAGAUUUGCUUGCAACUUGGGUUCGAUGGACAGUGACACUGACUUGGAUUUUUCAUACGCUAAGCAGGUUUUUUGUUGAUAAAGUAGAGCAAUAAGGGUGCCCAAGAACAAUGGAGAACCAAAUAAUUUCUUCCCCAAUGAGAAGCCCAUGUACCUAUUUUCAAGUAUCUGGAACGCCGAUGAUUGGGCUACUAGAGGAGGGCUAGAGAAGACAGACUGGAAAAAGGCCCCAUUUGUGUCCUCUUACAAGGACUUCACUGUUGAAGCUUGUCAAUGGGAAGAUCCAUACCCUGCCUGUGUAUCAACAACGACUAAAUACUGGUGGGAUCAAUACGAUGCUUGGCAUCUCUCAGAUGAACAGAAAAUGGACUGUGCCUGGGUCCAAAGAAACCUUGUGAUCUAUGAUUAUUGCAAAGACACUGAAAGAUUCCCAGCGCUGCCAGUGGAGUGCAAAUUGAGCCCAUGGGAUUGAUGGGCAAGUGAUGAGUUAAUUGUUAUUCUUCAGCAUCAUAUAUUUUUUCUAUUUCCUUUUUGUCUUUUUCUUGGUUACCAUUUUGAGAUGGGUAUAAAUCACAAUGUAUUUUUCUGCCAGCUAUUCUAUUUCACUAUUGCACAUCUAUUUAAUUUAUUCAAUUAUUUAUAUUCAAUUCAAAUAUAAAUUCCUGUACUUUGUCCAUCCUGUAAAGUGUUUUUCUCUAUCUUCUUAAACUCCAAUAAAAAUAUAAUCAAUGAAAAACACUUCGUAGAAUAACAGUUUUAUUUUUAUUUUGGGUAGAAUAUAUUUUUUAAAAGUUAUAAGAUUUUAAAAAUAUUUUGUUAUAUAUGUUGAUUAUAUUAAAUUUCACCUAUAUAUAUUUUGUUUUGAAUUAUUUAUUUAGUUAUUAUUUUUUCAAUUUUGUCUCUUAAAAUUUGAUUUAACUUGAUUUUUAUAUUAUCUUGGGUUCUUAUUUUUUUUUAUUGUUAUUUGUUUUUCUUCUAUCCUUUUCUUAAUUGAAUUUUUUUUAUCUUGUUAUUGGUUUCUAUUCUUUUGAUAUUUACUCGUCUUUUAAUUUUUUUUUCUGUCAGAUUUGGUCCUUAUUUUUUUAUGACUAUUUUUUUAUUUUAGAUAAUUUAUGAAAUUAGAAUUUUUUUUAAUUUCAUCCUCCAAAUUUUUCAUCAAUUAAUUUUGAUCCCUAUUCUUUAAUAAACUUGAAAAAUAUUUAAAAAUAUUAAUAAGUUAUUUUCUAACUUAUUUUUCAUGGCAUAGCUAAAUACUAUAAAAUAUUUUCCAACUUAUUUUUCAUGGUAUUGUCAAAUAUAAAAAAAUAAUCUACUUUUUAAAAAUUUACUUUCCAUGAAAAAUAUUUUUUUUAAAAAAAAAACACUUUCCGAUAGAUAAAUUAGGCAAGUAGAAGGAUUUACAGUAUAUCGUUUUUUGGCAACCCACUAAUAGUUCUUGUAUCUUGAUUUUCUAUUUUUAUAUUUUAUUUUUAAAAAGUGUUCAAUAUUAUUUCAAUGUAAAGCCACUUAGACGAAAAGGGUACAAUGUAAGAAUAAAUAGCAUAAUAAAGUAGUUGACGUAAAAUAAAUAAAAAUAAUAUAUCCUUCUUUUAAUUAAAAAAAAAAAUCAUUCUCAUUUGUUAUUUUUAUUCUCACCUUCCACUAUGAAAAUAAAAUUAGAUUUAAUUUUUAUUUUCAUUUCGAUUUUGUUCUUUUAACCAAAUAGGCUCUAAGUUUUAUCAAUUUCUAAAAGAAACAUUCUUGGACUAACCGACUAUGAAUUUGGCUUAAUCAUCAAAACAUGAGGGCUACCUCAAUCGUUUGGUGGUGAGAUUUAUACAGUAUGCAGUCGUGCCUACACAAUUAUUCUUAAAAAUGAUGCAACUUACAAGUCCUUUUUCAAUUCUCUCAAAAGAGAAAAGGAAUACUAUAUUUUUUUUUAUAUAGUUGACGAUUAUAUUAUUUGAUGGCCUAUCAAAACAUACCUUCUAGAUUUUUUAAAUUGUUUUUUCCAAUUUUUUUCAAGUUAUUAUACUAUCUACAUUGGUCGGCGCUUCAUUUGACCAUUCGCUAAUGAUCAUCCGGUGGCUUCUCUCUAUAUAUAUACAUAUAAAAUUGGAAAAAAUAUUGCUUAAAUAUAUAAUUUAGGCCGCCUCUGUAAGCUUUAAACUUGUAGAUAUGGGGGGAUCAUGAGUUUGACUUUUAUGUUUUCCAAUCUCCGUUUCUUAAAAUCUUUUUAAUUCCAUUAUUGAUUUUUGAAAGACCCAGUUUUUUGUUUAACUAUAUAAAUACAAAACAACUCAAGUAAACCAUCUGAAGAAAUUCCCGUCAGUUUGGAAUUGUUCGAGUCGUAAAUAUAUAGUUAUCUUCCAUGAAAUUGAUGUGCUAGGAUUUUCCAAAAUGUUGGAGAGCAUACAUAGUCAAAUAGAAUUUUAUAUGGUUUCAAGGGUGAUUUAUUUGACGAGGACAUAAAUUAUUUAAUUUAAACAAAUAAUGACCAAGAACAGAAUAUGAAGAAUUAAUUAGCACUGGUCAUCGACACAUAUAUGUGAUCCUUUCACACCACAUAACCUUCAAUUUCAUGCUAUAAAUACUACCUCUCCUCCUCUUGUUUCAGCAUCACAAAAACAUCUUCCAAAUCAACAAAAUCUCUCCCCCCCUUCUCAGUCUUUUAGAAUCCCAAGUUAAAAUGGGUGUCAUCACUUUGGAAAACGAGUUUGCUGUUGCUGUCGCCCCGGCCAAGCUUUUCAAGGCAUACUGCCUUGAGACCGACACUCUUUUGCCUAAAAUUCUACCAGAGCACAUUAAGAGCUCUGAGAUAAUUGAAGGAAAUGGAGGGCCUGGAGCCAUCAGGAAGAUCACUUUUGCUGAAGGUUAGUAUAUUAUAUGUUGCAAUUACUUUUAAUUAUAUUAACUAUAUUGAAAUCAGCAUAACACUCGCUAUAUCUACCGCACAAAGAAGUAACAAAUUGAUUUUGCACUUGCAGGAAAAGAUCUCAGUUAUGCCAAGCAGAAGAUUGAGGCAAUUGACGAAGAGAACUUGACCUACAGCUUCAGCUUGAUUGAAGCCAAUGUUUGGAAGGAUGCAGUUGAAAAGGUGACUUAUGAGCACAAGUUCGUGGCAACUCCUGAGGGAGGUUCCAUUUGCAAGAGAACCAGCACAUAUUACAUCAAGGGUGAUGCUGAGAUCAACAAAGGCCAAAUCAAGGACGUGUAUGGCAAAAAGACCGCAGGCUUGUUGAAGGCUGUUGAAGCCUACUUCUUGGCAAAUCCAGAUGCCUAAAUAUGAAAAUUCCCAUGUGUGUGUGUGUGGCCUUUUUCUUGGUUGUCUUUGGCAGUGUGGUUAUUGCCUUUUCUUCUUCCUUUGGGUAAAUUUUCCAUCCUUGUUACUGGCAAAAAAAAAUUGAGAGUACAGAAGUAUAUCUUCUAUUACUUUAAUAGUAUUUGAUUAUGUGGUCAUUUGGUUAAUUGUAUUGAAGCAGUUCUUUUCAAUAGUUGAUGUUAUUGGUAUUGUUUUCAAAAUACAUAAUAAAAAUCACCAUGUCAUCAAGUGUUUACUUUGAAUCGAUGUAUCGAAGGUUUUCUUUAUACAUAAUCUGUUUUCUUAAAGAGCACUUGAAUUUAUGGACCUUUCCCUCCUUCCUCAUUUUUUUUUUCAAAUGAUAAUAUAUUGAAGAGCAAAAACAUUUGUCAUGCUGGUUAUGCACGCAUAAACUAUCCUUUUGGAAAGAUUUUAUGUUUGUAAAAUCCAACGAAUAGAAUGUAUGCACGUAAGAAAAUAAUUUAUAUGACCAGGGGGUGGUUAAAUGAUUUUCUUAUUCAAACUUCACUUUCUCUUUUAUUUUUUUUAUGUUAUUUUCACAUCAAUAAUAAUAAUAAUAAUAAUAAUAAUUAUUAUUAUUAUUAUUAUUAUUAUUCUUUUUUAAUAAAAAAAAUAAUAAUCUUAACACUUCCUCUCUAAGUUGGUGCAUAAAUAUCACAUAUGCCUAACUUGUUUAAAGUUGAGAAUAAUUAGCAGGCUUAAUCUAUUGGUUAGCCAACCCUUUUUAUAUAUAUAUAUAUGUAGGGCAAUAUACAAUAGUAAUGGUGGAGGUUACAACACAGGAGUAUAACUACAAUAUUUCCUAUACAGUAUGCCUACAAUAUUUCCUAUAUAGAUGCAUUAAUAUGCCCCCUCAAAUUGAGGGUGAAGGAUCAGCCCGAAACUUGAAAUGAAAAGUUGUAAAAAAAAUAGUAGGAAGUGGCUUAGUAAAGACAUCUGCAAGUUUAUCCUGAAAGGAAAUAAAAUGAAUCUAGAUCUCCUUCUUCACAACUCUAUCUCGGACAAAACAUGAGGGCUACCUCAAUCGUUUGCUGGUGAGAUUUCAAGUUAGAAUUUGGCUUCAUGAGUAACCGACUACAUCUGAUCCGAUCCAUUGACUUGGAUUACUGAGAUUUUGGAUGGUGAGAUAAUACACACACACACACACACUUCAGUUGAAUGUCUAAACUUAGAGUCACAAUAUUGUUAAGGUUAUUGAUAAGAAAAAUCCUAUUCAGGAAGUUUUUCAGAUAAAACUUCCUUAUGAUCUGCAGUCAAUCCUGCAUAAUAUGGUGCUAUAAUUCCUUAAGAAUAUCUGUUAUGAUUAUGUACAACUAUAAACUAAAUUAGCUCCACAUUUAUCUUCUUCUUUUACUCUUUUAUAAUGUACUCCUAUAUAUAAAUACAAACUAAUGUACAAUGUUUAAGUUGAUCAGAUAAGAAUCAUACAAAAACAUUCUUCUCCUAACUUGGCAUCAGAGUCAUUAUAGCUCACAGAUACCUUUUCUUUGAUUCUGCUUCCACAUAAUGUCUUCUUUAUUACCUUUACAUGAUAUCAACAACCCUCUCAAUCUUUCUCAUACCUCACCUCUAUCAUCCUUUAAACUUGAUGGAUCAAAUUAUCUAAUCUGCUAGUCCCAAUUUCUAUCAUUUCUAAACAGUAAUGAUCUUCUAGUGUUCGUUGAAGGUUUUGACCCUGUCACUGGGAAAACCAAUGCUGAUAAUUCACCCAAUCCCUCUUAUACAACAUGGUAUAAGAAAGAACAAGAUCUAUUGGGUAUUAUAUUAUCAUCUCUUAGUCUAAAUUUUGUUAGAAUAGUGUAUGGUUUAACCACAUCCAAACAAGUCUAGACUGCUCUUAAGACUAGAUUUUCUAAUCAGUCACAAUCUCAUAAUCUAUGUUUGGAUUUGUCUUUUAUGUUGUGAUCCGGUCUUAUGAUCAUUAUCACAAGUUUUAAAGGUUGAGUCAGGUUGGCUUCGGUCAUUUUUAUUUUUUUUAUUUUUAAUUUCAUCUAUCAUCAUUAGAUUCGUUGGUAAUUUGUAUUUUUUUUUUUUUUUUGCCUUUUCUUUCUAUAAAGUUAUUCUAAUAUCAUGUUCUAAGUUAUGGAUUUAGCAAGUUUACUGGGUUUGACUUGGUCUUUUUUUUCAUUGCUUUUUAAGUUUUUUUUAAUCUCGAGUCAAUGACCAGAAUCUUAAAUAUUUUUUUAAAAAUGUUUGCGUCAUCUUGAUGUUUUUUUCUACAAUGAAAAACAAAUAAAUAGACUCGUGGUAUAGCGCUGGACACCUAUCUAGUAAUAAUCUAAAAAUUAAUAAUAUGAUAAUCUAAAACUGAUAAUAUGAAAUGAAGUGUUAGUGAAAAUGAUACACUCAUAUGCGAAAACAUACAAAUACAUUUUGAUCUUAAAUAGACAAGAAAUUUAACCAUAGUCUUAUUAUUACAAUUUGAUCCUUUGGUUUUAAAAAUAUACAAGCACAUCAAUAUUUACUUAAAUUGAAAAUGGGACAUCACUAAUUCUAUUAUAAAAUAGGACAUUAAGAACAUAUUAUUAUAAUUCUUUUUAUUAUUUUCCAUAUAAAAUAAAUGAGAUCAUAAAUGGAUGGUAAAUUGUCAUUUUUAAAAUAUUAAUAUUUAAAAAAAAUAUUAUAAAAAAUGGAUGAAACAAUUAAUUGAGAAUUUUCAAAAACUUUAUAACACAACAAAAUUAUUAGGCAUUUAAUUGAUAUUCAGGAUAUAAUUUGAAAACUAAUUUAAGUUAAAUCUUUUAUUUAUUUAUUUAUUAUGCAAUCGUGCCUGCACAAUUAUUCUUAAAAAUGAUGCAACUUAUAAGUCCCUUUUCAAUUCCCUCAAAAGAGAAAAGGAAUACUAUAUAUGUUAUUAUUUGAUGGCCUAUUAAAACAUACCUUCAAAAUCAUCCAGCAGCCGUUCUUCAUAGCAGAGAUCUUCAUCUUUUUCCUCUGUUACUUCUCAUCUAUUAUAUCCACCAGCAGCCGUCCUUCUUAGCAGAGAUCUGCAUCUUCUUCCUCUGUUACCUCAUAUCUGCAAUAUCUGGAGGUCCUCUUCCUCCUUAAAACCAAACUGCAACCUCUUCUACCUUGCAACAUGGACAAUCAAGAACUUCAACAAUCUGUUGCUGCUGCAUCAGCACUACAGUCUUCUUUCUCGCCUGUGGCGCAACAGUUAUCUAUGGCGUAUCCACUACUGCUGCCAUCAUACCUAUUCCUAACACACACCAGGUAGUCUCUUUAAAACUCUCCAACACCAACUUUUUGUAUUGGAGGAUGCAGAUGAAACCGUUUCUUUUAGGCCAAAACGUGUAUUCCUUUGUUGAUGGCACAUCAUUAUAUCGUCCUUCACAUCUGGCAUCUGCUGCGACAUAUGCACUUUCUGUCAAAUUUGCAUAUUUGUCAUGGAAGUAGCAAGAUCACUUAAUCAUGAGUGCCCUCCUAUCUUCUCUCUCGGUGGAAGUUUUGCACUUAGUUGUGGAUUCUAACACCUCCCAUGACAUUUGGACAACGCUGGAAACAACUCCUGCCUCUCUUUCAAAUUCUCAAAUUAUGCAACUUCACAGCUCAUUCCAAGAUUUACAACAGGCUGAUGAUUCUGCCAGCAUUUACUUGUAGAAGGCAAAGACCUUGUUUGAUGAACUUGCUGCAGCUAGCAGACCAAUCUCCUUGGCCAAAUUCAACUUGUAUGUGUUUCGAAGGUUACGCAGUGAGUUUAAGGAUCUUGUCAUCAGCUUGUCCACUAAGGAUGUUACCAUCUCCUAUACUGAUCUUCAUAGCAAUCUUCUUACACAUGAGUUUCUUCACAAAGCCUCUCUCCAACCAUCUGUAACAUCUCCUCUGUUACCAACUCCAACGCAGCAGUCAGCUAUGUUCUUUGUGCAACAUCAAUCUGGCUUUAGUACUAGCAAACAAGGUUGGUUUUGUGGGGGCUGGAGACCUAACAAUCAACAAUGUGGCCAACAUGGAAACCAGUUCUCCUCUGGUUCUUCCCAACAUGGAAACCGGUUCUCCUCUGGUUCUUCCUCACGGAUAACAAGCAGCUUUAGGCAGCAAGGAAAUCGUUUUGGUGGUUAUAAUCGCAAUACUACCCAACAGUAUUCUCAAUUGGCUACUCAUCUUACGCAAGCAAAUGGUAAUCUCGCAUUUAAUAAUGUAUCUACCACUACUCCUAUUACUUGGUUUCCUGAUACAGGUGCAAAUCAUCAAGUCACGCCGGACCUUGUAAGUAUGACGAGUUCAGAACAUUACCUUGGAAAUGAUCAUCUGCAUAUUGGUGAUGGUAAGGGCCUUGUUAUUUCAAAUAUUUCCCACUCUAAAAUUCGUUCACCCAAAUGCACGUUUACUUUAUCUAAUAUUCUACAUGUUCCUGCCAUUAAAAAACCUCUGCUAUCUGUUCAAAAAUUUUAUCUUGAGAAUAACGUCUUUUUUGAAUUUCAUUCCUCUCUAUUUUAUGUUAAGGGGGAGUAGAGAUGGUCUAUAUGUUUUGUCUGAGUCGUCCGCAACGUUGUUGCCUCAAGUUUUCUCAUCUACUUGUCUCUCUACUUUCGCUGAUGCCUGGCAUCGUCGCCUUGGGCAUCCCAAUCCACGUAUUCUACAUUUUUUGGUGAAAAAAAAGUGUCAUGUACAUCAACUCAGUUUACUUUUAAUUGUUGUCGCACGUCAUUAAAUCCGCACGGCAUCGGCUGGCGAUUUUUCUUUAUGCGUUUUGCUUUGAUUGGUUCGUUGGAGUCGCCACCUAGUAAUUUAUUGAGGGCUACUAGGAAACCUGAUGUACUGGUCUUGUUAGAGAUUCACGGGAAAGGGACUGGUUGUGGUUAGGGAAGGUAUUAGCACCCCUAACGCACCCUACCUGAGGUAAGCUGCUUCGUGGACUUGAUGUGUUUUUAAAAAUAAAAUUUUAGCCCAAUUCUAAGGCUUUGAUAAAUCAGUUAUUAGUUCCCAAAAUAUAUGUAGAUACAUGUUCUACAUUUUCAUGGAAAAUACAACAUGAUUUUAUCUGUCCUUUAGAUAUUUGUGCAUAUAAAUUAAAAUAUUAAAUUCAUUUUUUUUUAUUCAAUAACAUACAUAAAAAACAAAUACACAAACACACACACAUCUCUUUUUCUAUUAUUAUUUUCUCUUUCUUUUCUUUUCUUUUUGUACAUCACAUUACAAAAUUAUAAAAAAUUUAAACACUAAACAAAAAUUACAUUACAUAAUUUAAAAAUUACAAAAUAGUCCCUAAACUCCAGAAAUUGCAGAGGGACACUUCUGGAACUGCCUGAACAGUUCUGGAACAAUGGCGGCGCGUGGCUUCACGCGCCGCCGCUGACAGUGCUGGAAAUGGGCGGAUCUGCCCUGCUUUCUCCUUUUCUCUUCUCUGCCGAUGGUGACCUGCAAAAUCAACCAAAAACGCAACACAGGCAGUUGAUUUUAGUUGUUUUUCUUUGUUGUUUUUUAGAUCUGCUCUCGGGUUCUUCUCCCGGAUCUGUCCCGUUCGGGUCUGCUGCUAUGGAUUUCAUCUCCUUCUCCUCUGCUUCGGGCGGCGCUGCUGGCUGAUGGUGGAUCUGUGGCUGGGCAUGGAGAUCGGAGGAGAAGCUGUCGUGGCCGGCUGUUGUGGGGAGGAGCUGCUGCUGUUGCUCGUGGGUCUCUCUUUGAUUUACAUCUGCUCCUUCUGCCGAUGGCAGGACUGGUGGAGGCGGAUCGCGGUGGACGCGGGCGGAUCCGCCGGUGCCUGAGGGCUUCGGUGUGGAGCAGAAGGGAGGCGUUUCCUUGUGGAGCUGGAUCCGUGGGCCACUGGCGGUGCGAUUCUGCCGGCGUUCAGCGAGCUGGCCGCUAGUUCAGGAGGAAAGAGCUGAGGGAGGCCGCGGCUGAGGAAGAGAAUGGGGGUUCUCUUGUGGGUCUUGCUGCUGUCGUCUGCUGGCUGCUGGAGCUGAGUCGGCCAAGAGAGGGAAAAAUGGUGGUUGGCCGAGAGAGCAAGAAGAAGAAGGAAGGUGCUGGGAGCAGGAAGGAAAAGGAGAGCUGCAGUGGCUUGGGAGGUGAAGAAGAUGGUGGAACCGGCUGAAAAGGAAAACCAAAAACGUGGGGGGCCGGCCAGACGGCGGCUUGGAGAAGAGAUAGAUUUAGGGUUUUGUUUUUGUGUUGUCUCUCCCCUCAAAUAUCAAAAUUUCCCCCCUUUUAUGUGUGUUGAAGGCUGCUAUAUAUAGGCAAAUUAAUGUUUGGGCCUCAAAAUUAGUCUUCAACUUUCUCUUUUUUUGUAAAUUCUGAUUUUUCUUAUUUUUUUGUAUUUUUUGAAAACGAGCAAUAUCAACGUCAACUUAAAUGAGAAAAAUCAAUGAUUUUAAAAAUAACACGUGAAAAGUCGAACGCGUUCCAAAAAACCUAUGAAAACUUAAAUUCUUUUUUUAGACGACGUUAAAAAUGCUAAAAACGAUGCACACAUAUUAAAAACAUAUUUUUUUGGAUUUUCGUUGUUUUUCGCUAUUUUUGAAUUUUCCGAAGAUUUUAUCAAAAAGGUAGGUCAAAAAUUGGGUAACAACAAUUGUGUUGAGUGCCCUCUGGGCAAGUCGUCUCGUCUGACUCUAAAAACUACGGGUCAUCAAACUCGAGCUCCUCUUAACUUGAUUUUUAGUGAUGAUUGGGGUUCAUCCCCUAUGUUGUCAUCUGAUGGUUUUUGCUAUUUUGUUAUUUUUUUGGAUGCCCAUACGAAGUUUAUAUGGUUUUAUCCUUUGGUUGCUAAGUCUGAUGUUUUUCAAAUUUUUCAUCAAUUUCAGGCGCUUGUGGAGCGCCAAUUCUCCUUAAAAUUUAACUUUGUUCAAAUCGAUUAGGGUGGUGAAUAUCGAAAACUAAAUACAUAUUUUAAAAUGAUUGGUAUUCAUCAUCGUGUGAUCUGCCCGCACACUCAUGAACAAAAUGGCAUGGUUUAACGUCGUCAUAAACAUAUUGUUGAAACUGAGCUUACUCUUCUUGGGUAGUGCCACGCUUCCCUUAAAUAUUGGAGUUAUGCUUUUGAAAGCUCUGUUCAUUUGAUUAAUCGCAUGCCAACUCCAGUUUUUAAUCAUAAGACACCUUUUGAAUGUCUUCUAAAAUCGAUUCCUGAUUAUGCGUUUCUUCGUACCUUUGUGUAAACCCCGGGGGAAAAAAAUAAAUAAAAGUGAAGAAAUUCAUGCAUAUGGUUAAAUAAAAACAGGAAUUCAGAAAUUUUUUAAUAUAAAUUUCCGAGUGAAAUAAUUCGAGACAUUAUAAUAAACCCGGUACUGUUGAGGGUUGGAUUUAAUUGAAGAGAAUAACACACUUAAAGGAAAAGGGGGCCUAAAUGCAAAUAAGGGAAAAUAUAGAGUAUAAGUACUCUCUCCUCACCAAAAAUUUAGAGGAACCAUAAGGAGAGAAAAUAAGGAGUUUUAUACCCAUUCUUGCGAAAUCAAGAGAGAAACACUAAAAUUUCAACAACCCAUCCAACAUUAAGGGUUUAUAGAUGGGAUAAACACUUGAGAGCAAGGGAUUACCAAGAAAUUGAACAAGAAGAAAAGAAAGGAGGGAGUUAAAAAUCUUCAACUGGUUGAAGAUCAAAAUCUUAAUUCGUACUGGGUAAAGUGUUCUAAACAUGAUCUUAAAAAUUCAUUUUAAAUUCGAUAAUGAAUUGAUGUCUUGAUAUUGAAUCAUAGGUUAGGGUUCUUAGACAUGAAUUGGGGAAAAAGUACUUAUUGUUAAGAUUAAGUUAAUUCAUGUGUGUGGUAUGUAGUUUAUGAAAGUAUUGUGUGAAGGGGAGGGGGAGACGAAUCUGGACAGACUUGUCUCCUGACUUUCAGUGAGAUUUCAGGUAGGAGGAUGAGGGAAUUAGGAUUGGAUUCCUUCAUAGAAAUUGUAGAUUUGAAUGAUAGCUAACCAAGGAAACUGGUCUUCCUCAAUUUAGAGAUGUAGAACUCCAGUUAUGGGUUAUCAACCGAGACUGAGUUGUGACUGAUUAUGUAGGGCAGUAGGACUGAUUAGUUGAUGAGCAGUUUUGACUAUCUUGGAGGAAGAACUGGGUUCUCCUUUCUUCAGAGAACUAGUAGUCUCGUGUCUUAACUUUCUAACGAGAUCAAUCUCACUUAAAAUGGAGUUUUAAAACUUUAGAUAUAGUUAAAAAUCUGAUGAGCGUUCAGACAGUAACAGUUCAAAUGUCUAGACAGUAACAGUUGGACAGUAACAGUUCAAAUGUCUGGACAGUAACAGUUCAAAUUUAAACAGUAACGGUUGGACAGUAACAAUUCAAUGUGUAGACAGUAACAGUUCAAAUGUCUAGACAAUAACAGUUCAAAGUUAGACAGUAACAGUUGGACAGUAACAGUUCAAUGUGUAGACAGUAACAGUUCAAAUGUCUAGACAGUAACAGUUCAAUGUGCAGACAGUAACAGUUCAAAUAUCUAGACAGUAAAAAAUUAUAGUUUGCAAUUCAAGCAUUUGUGCAGGAGGAUAAAUAGGCAAUACAAACAAAACAUGUGAAAGUAUGCCACAUUCACCGACGUCACUACCGACGGAUAAACUUCUAUCGGUAUCUUACAGAGAGUUGCAAAAUAUUUACUGUUUUUUACCACAUUCACCGACGUCACUACCGACGGAUAAACGUCCAUCAGUAUCUUACAGAGAGUGGCAAAAUAUUUACUGCAUUUGCCACAAUCACUAACGGACAUACCGACGUCAUCACCGAUGUACGUUGCAAAUUCCAAUGCGCGCAACUGUCAGAGUGCCAGGUCGGUCAGUCCGUUUACCGACGGACUCACCGACGGAUUUUGCAAUUCUAAUGUGCGCGUGCUCUAACACCUCGAUAUCAACAUAAUUGCCAAAGGAAAUUGAAAAUUCUGGAGGGAUUUCCACAAAUUUUGGUGAGAAAUUCAAAAUAUACCGACGGAAAUUACCGACUAAAUUUAAUGCCACCGCCAAAAAAAAUAUUAUUUUAAGUUCCGUCGGUAAAAUUGCAGUAUAAAACCGACCCCCCCUCUCAUUCAUCUUCUAUUCUCCUAUGCUUCCUCAACAGUUUUGUUAUUGUUUUGAUUGAUUUCAACAUAUUAAAAGGUAUGAUUCUCCUUUCUUUAUCUAUGUAUUUGUUUACUUUUUUAUUUUACUUAUGAUUAUUUUUGUUGUGUUUUUUGUUUUGUGUAUUGUUUGUAGAUAAAAUAUUUAAAUCAACACACUAUUAAGGUAAAUAUUUUUCAUUGCUAAAGUCUUUAGUUUUUUCUUUUUAUUUGUUUAAUUUAUUUUAUUGUUUGUAUUGCCAUAAUAAUUGGAAAUUUUUUUAAAUUUGAAUUUUUAUUGUUGAAUUUACCUUUAAAAUGUUAAUUUAAAUAUAGAAUUAAAUUUAAUUAUUUUAACUCAAUUUUAUUCUAUUAUUGCUUGUUAUGUUUUUUAUUAUUUCCAUUAAUUUUAAUUGUCAUUUAUGUAUUUAUAUAGAUGUUACUUGAAAAUAUAUAGAUGUUAAAUUUCUAUAAAUGUUAGGUUGUAUAUAAGAUUUUCCAAUGGAGUCAAUUGGUUUGUGGUUAUUGUAAAUAUUUGCAGGUUUGAAAACUGUGGGUAGUCUCUAGUAUAGAGGAGGUGCUGCCGAAUGUUUUUUAAAUAAUCAAAUUUAAUUAUGUAAUUAUUCAUAUAAAUUUGUGUAGAUGCAUAGAAUGAAAUCAACAGCACGUCAUCAGCAGACGGUUGUAACUAGUUCUUCUAGCAGCGAGGAUGACUUAUCCUUAGGUGCUGAUCACGAAGAGGCAUCUACGCCAACUUGUGAUGCUGCCUCUUCUAGCGCAGUUUCACAGCGCAGAGGCGGUGUGCCUUCACAGCAGGGUCAAUUCACCCGCAAGUACCAGGCACAAUGGAAGGAUGACCUUUCAAUGUCAGUUUGUUUAGGUUUUAGUUUCUUUUAUAUACUUAUAACAUAAUUUAUGAACAACUAAUUAAUAUUUUAUUAAUUUUAUUUAAUUUCAGGUUCACAAACAUUGAGGCUGCCUGGACAAUAACAUCGCGUUUAAAUCAUCGAUGGAGAUUCCAUUGUUUCAAUGGAGUCAGGUUUCCAAACUUCCUGAGUGGAGACCUAAUAUCGAUGCAUGGUUUCGACGAUUUCAGGUAAGUGUAACUUCUAAUUUCUAGCUUAUUUUUAAUAAAUUAUUUUUAUAAUUUUAUAUCUUGUACUAUUUUUAUUUUAAAUGAAUUAUUUAUACACAUCACACAUUUGAGUGGGAUAGAGCGAACAACAAUGUUGUGUGGAGGGAAUGGGAGAAUCACGCGGCAACUAGGUAACAUCGAAAAUAAUAUAAUUUUUUGUUUUAUAAUUUUAUGUUCUAAAUUCUAAUUUGUUACUAUGGAAGUAGGUUGCGUGAUUUUUGAUAUGACACAAAAAAAAAAGCAAAAAGAUAUGCGAGAGAUAACGGUCUAGAAGGCUGAAAUGAGGUGGUGGUUUGGUGGGAAUUCAAACCACCAUUCAUCUCGGGGGAUAUAUGGACGCAAUAUAUUGAGCACGUGACGUCUGAGCGGUUCGCACAACGCUCACAGUCCGGUGUCGCCAAUCAGAAUCGGCAAAUUCAUGGUUCGGUUACCACGCACACCAACGGCUCUUUUCUGUUCGGUGCACAUGCGAAGCGGAUGGUAAGAUUAAUUUAAAUGAAAUAUAUCGUUAAUUAAUUUGUUGUUGCUUAUAAAUAUAUUUAACUUGCAACCUUUUUUUUCCUUACAGACUUCGUCUCUUGGACGUGUGUCGAGCCCAAUGGAGCUGUUUAUAGAGACGCACGUGCGGAGUCAAGACCGUCAAAAAGGGGUGCAACAGUUCGUGGACAACCAUGCUCAAUACUUCGUGGUAUGUUCGUUCAAUAAUUUUAUUUCGUAAGUUAUUAUUUUCUUGAAUUAAAUAUGAUGAUUUUUUAAACAAUUUUCAGGAGACCUAUAAUAACCGGUUGAGGGAGAGAUAUGGGGACAAUCCUUCGACCCAUCUGGAUUUCGAUCCGGAUUUGUGGAUGGAGGUAGGAUCGUCUGGUGGACCCGAUAAAAAUCAGGUCUACAGGCUCUCCAACACUACGGCCGAAAACUUGCGGACAGCCUAUAGUGUCUCAACCGUUGGGAGCUCUACAUCAGUAUCGAGCACCUAGUCUGAGGAAUUCAUGGCCUUGAAAUAAUAAUAUGAACGACUCUCGAUGGAUUAUGAUCAGCUCCGUCAAAUGGUCAUCGACAUUAGAUCAAGGAUGGGUGAUGAUACAUGUGCAGCCCCUUUUUGGCCGUACAGUCCCGGGAACAACCAGCCUCCUCCUUCUCCUCCUCCUCCUCCAACUCUGCCGUUAUUCUAAUUUAAUUUUGUUUUUGAAACACAUUAAAUUUAUAAUGAAUAUUUGGAUGAAUAUUAUUUAAAAUUAUUUUUAUAUUUUUAAUGUUUAAUACAAUUUUAUUUGGUUAAUUAGUGUUUUUUUACUAUAAAUCAAUAUAAUAUUUGAAAAAAAAAUUAUUUAUUCUAAAUACUUUUUUAAAAAAAAAUUUAAAUAAAUGCCGACGGACUUGCAGAUGGAAUAUGUCAGUCGGUAUUAGACAAAGAGUUGAAAAAAAUUUACGACCCAUGCCACAAUCACCGACGGCCCAUCCGUUGGUGAUUUACCGUUGACAUUGCCGACAGCCUAUAUCCGUCGGUAUUUUACAGAGAGUUCUGAAAUAUUUACGGCCCAUGCCACCGUCACCAACGGACUGGCCGUCAGUGAUUUACCGUUGGAAAUACAGAUGGAAUACGUCUGUCAAUAAAGUUCUAGCGCGGGAAAUUUUUUAUGGAUGCGCUUUCCUCGUCUGUAAGACCGUCGGUGUUUGUUUUUUUUCUGACAAACAUACCGAUGGAAGUGGGAAUUACCGACGAUCAAUAUUCUAACAGACAUAUUCUGUCGAUGAGACCGUCGGCAAAAAUUUUACCGACGAAUUGUGUGUUUUACACUGACAUAAUUAUUCCAUCGGUAAAACUGUUUAAUGGUGGUGUAGUGUAAUUCAUUGAUUGCCUAGGACUUUAUGCCUAUAAAAAGGCUUGUAAUUAAGCAUUAUUAAGAAGUACAAAAGAGAGGGAGAGAAUAGCUAAGAGAGGCAAAUUUGGAAAAGGAGUUUGUGGUAGCCAUAACAGGUCAAAUGAUCGAACACAUGAAGCAAAUCGGUCGAUCGAUUACAUUAAUAGUGACAAUCCAAAAUCUAGGUUUGACAAAUCAAAAGUUAAAUGCUAUAAUUAUCAAAAAGUAUGUCAUUAUGCUAGGGAUUGUUGGAGUCCAACUAAAAAGUUUUAGAAGAAUGCAAAUCUAGUAAUAUAAGAGAAAAGGGAAGCCACCCUAUUACUAGUGCAUGAUGAGAGAAUGCAAGACAAAUAGAACAUAUGGUAUCCAAACAAUGAAGCUAAUGUGUGGAGACAAAGACAGGUUCAUGGAGCUUGAUGAAGCAAUUAGAGGUGAUGUCACCUUUGCGAAUCAUUCAAAGGUUGCCAUAAAAAAAAUAUACGAUUUUGAUUAAAUUGAAAUAUGUAAGUCAUCAAUUUAUUCAUGAUUUUUAUUAUAUACCAAUAGGAAAAAGCAACAUAUUGAGCUUAGGACAAUUGUUGGAGAAGGGGUAUGAGAUUAAGAUGAAAUAUCGUACUUUGACAUUACUACAAAAGGAGCUCUGAUUGCAAAGGUAGUUAUGAUAAAAAAAAAAAAAUUAUAAUGUUCUUGUUAAACAUAGAGACAAAUGUGUCUAAAUGCCUAAAUGCAUGUGUGAAGGAUGAGACUUGAAUUUAGCAUAUGAGACUUGGGCAUGUAAACUUUGAUAGUUUGAAGAUGAUGGCAUAAAAGGAGAUGUUGAAGGGUCUACCAUCCAUUAUACUCUAAAUUAGUUGUGUGAAGGAUGUUAAGUGGGCAAGCAAUUCCCUAAGAUUUUUCUGAAGAAGUCUACAUCAAGAGCAAGUCAACCCCAACAAGAAAUACAUAUUGAUGUUUGUGGUCCUAUCAAACCAUUUUUUUGGUAAAAAAUUGUAUUUUUUACUUUUUAUUAAUGAUUAUAGUAUGAAAAACUUGGGUAUACUUCUUAAAAGAAAAGUCUAAUUGUAAUUUUAAUGAGUUUUAUGAAGAUCAUGAUAUAAAGAGACUCCUAACGGUGCCUAUAUUCCCACAACAAAAUAACAUGGUGGAGAGAAAGAAUAGAAGCAUCCUCAACAUGAUAAGAAGCAUGCUCAAAACCAAGAAGAUGCCUAAAUAGUUUUGGGCCAAAGUUGUAGAUUGUGCUAUUUACUUGUCAAAUAGGUGUCUCAUUAAAGGCUUGAAUGACAUGACUACAUAAGAAGCAUGAAAAUGAUCAAGUAAGGACCAAACUAGAUGAUAAGAGCAAAAAAAUAAUCUUUGUGAGUUAUGAUCAAAUAGAUUACAAAAACCAAAGUUAAUAAUGCCAUGCUUAUGACCUUGGUCAUGAGUUGGGCGGGUUAUCCCAGUUAGAGCCAAGUCAAUUCAAAAUGUCACUAUUUCAAUAUUUGUUUCUAUAAAAAAAAUGUUAAGCCGACAUCUUUUAAGAAAAAACUUAAAAGUCAAACUGAGUUUUAACUAGGUCGAUCCAGUUGUGAGUGCACCUACUAGAUCAACCGGGUUACACCAGGUCAACUCCCACAUGGAUUACUUUAAAACUCGGUCCAUACUAAAGCUCGGUCAAUGGAACACUAUUAUCAUAACCUAAUUUUUAUCCCCUUUAAAAAAUAAUUUUCAUCAUAAUAUUUAGUAGAUAAAAUUCGAUAGAUUUUCAAGAAAAAGACAAUUGUUGAAAAUUAAUCACAAUACAAAACAAAAUCAUAAAAAUGAAAGAAAAAAAGAAAAAAAUAAUUAAAGAUAAAAUCAAACAAAUAAUGAAUUUUCAAAAAGCAUGGACUAGGUUAUAGCAAUUACAAAAGGUUAAGGAUAAUUUUGAGAAAUAAUAAUGGAUUUGAUUGAAAGAAAAUUGAAUAAAAAAGUUGAAAUUGAUCAAAUUUGCAUGAAUUGAAAGACUUAGGACCAAGAUGAAAGAUAUGGAAAAGUUUGAAGGUCUUUUUAAUUUAAACAGUGACUUAAUUGAAGAAAUUUUGAUAUUUAAUAUCAAUUUAACUAAAAAUAAAAGAAUUAAAGGAUCAAGAACUAAAAUGUUGAAGAUACCUUAAUAGUAGUUUGAAUGCCACAAUAACACUCCCAAGUUGUAAAAUCAGUUUUGGUUUUGAAAAAUAAAACAACAAAAAUCAAUCAUAAAACAUGAAAUAUCCUCAAAAUGAGCCAUUCUUGUUAUGAAAACCAUAAAAAAGAUGUGUUUUUAGUUGUGUUGUUUGUCUUUAACCAAGCUUGGUCAUUAAGAGUUAAUAAUGAACAUAUCUUAGUAUGUUUUUAUUGAUGCAAUAAUUAAUAAAUAAAGUGCAUUACAUUUCAUACUAAACCAAAUAAUUCUUUUGGAAGCAACUUAUGGUUUUUUCAUGGUGGAAGUUGACCUAUUCUAAGCAUGAAAUAUUGUUGUUAUUAUGCAUGAGAAAAUAUGGUACGGAAAGUUUCUCUUCGUUAUUGGAACAAGGUUGGAUAUAACAUAUUGUGUGUAAAGCUGCUUUUGAAUCCUAAAUAUGUCAAUUUUCUAGGUUUCCAACCCAUUGUUUUGGUUAGAAAGCAUGUGUCAUUUGGUUUGGAGACUAUGGCAACUUAUGGUUAUCAUAAUCUAGAUUUUUUUUUUAUUCUUUUGAUAUCAUGUUUAACUUUGGAGAUUUAUAGUUCACCUUUCUAGGGUUUUUUUAGUUAUAGUGCACGCUCUAUUUGCUUAAUUCAUUAGGAUUUAUGCUAAAUAUACUUGAUUAUAAUAAACAUGAGGAAUUAUGGACUAGAUGCAUGUUUUGGUUAUUUAAAUGAUGCAAGCUUGAAACAUUUUCUUACAGGGUUAGGUUUGUUUAUCUAGGGUUUGUUGAUUAGGAAAGAAUUAGCUUUACUAAGAUUGUGUGCUUUAUGGUAAUCUUAGAUUAAACUUUUUGUUUUAAAAGAAAAAAAUCAACAAAAUCGUCUAUUUUUAAGGAUUAAUGUAUGUCAAAUUUAUCGAAGAGUCUCUUAUUCAUAGGGACCAACAUUAUUUUCUAAAAUAAAUCAUGAGUAAGCUUAGAAAUAUAUCUAGGUAAUUAAUAGCAUGUAUAGAAUAAAUUUAUGAGAAAAAACAUAGUAAAGAUAACUUUUUUUUCAUUUGAAAGGAUGUUAUAAGGGUGAUAUUGAUCUUCUCUUAAAGCAUAACUAACUUUGUAACUGAAUCUUUGAAACCGGUAUUAAUUUUAAAAUUUUUAGUUUUCUUUAUUUAUAUCAUGUAUUUAUCGUGGUAUAGAUCCCAUGAAAACAUACAACAUUACUUUAUAUAACAUUCAUGCGCGUCCCAUCCUUCUAAAGCAUGCACUAUUCCAGCCACACGCCAUGCGCUCAUCACUCUUCUUGGCAGCCAAUUCUGUCAUCAAGUAUUUUGCAAUACAAAUUAAUUAUCUUUCCUAAAAUAAGAAAAUAAUGCAAAUAGUACCUUAAAUUUCAGCAAUAUUUGACUAAUUAAUUACCUCGCAAGAGUCUAUAUUUUCAAGAGAUGCAGGGGCUGCCAUUGCUGGUAUGCUAUGAUAGAAGCAAUCCUUGCGCAAUUUCUUUGGGGGAAAUUGCGAGAAGGGAAUAAAUAAUGUUCCUUCUGCUGCUUUCUUUUGGUCCUCUUCUUUCAAUCCAUCACCAACUAACCACGUCUACACAACAAAGUUUAUUAUGAUAUUAGAAAUGUCAAUAUAUAUAUAUAUAUAUAUAUAUAUAUAUAUAUAUAUAUAUAUAUAUAUGCAUGCUACUUAAAUAAUUUAAGUUGUAAUUUAUUUUAUUUUUGACAAAAAAAAAAAUUAAUUUCUAAUUCCUUGGUAGCUAAAGAAAGCAUAUAUGUAGGUAUAGCGUACCUUUAUUGAAUAACUCUUUGAAAGAAUCAGAUUGUUCUGAUCAGAUGUGAUGCCGAAGGAUUUUUUAAGCUUCUGGUAAUCAUCCUCACAUGGAACAACUACCUAAAAAAUUAGUGAAAAUGAUCGUAAUAAUUAGGAAUUAGAAAUUAAAACAUGACCAUAAAUUAAAUUUGCCUAUACAAUCAAUUUAAAUAAAUUACUGUCAAAUUGAAGAAAGUUACAACAUGUGCCUAUUUGCCUAGUAGACAACAACAAUACCUAAAUGCCUAAAUGCAUAGAUGAAGGAUGAGACUUGGCUUUGUCAUAGAGACUUGGGCAUAUAAACUUUAAUAGCUUGAAGAUGAUGACAUAAAAAGAGAUAUUGAAGGGUUUACCAUCCAUUAUACAUCUAAAUUAGUUGUGUGAAUGAUGUUUAGUGGGUAAACAAUUUCACAAGAUUUUUCUGAAGGAUUAUACAUCAAGAGCAAGUUAACCCCUACAAAAAAUACAUGUCGAUAUUUGUGUUCCUAUCAAACCAUGUUCUUUCGGUAAAAAUCUGUAUUUUCUACUUUUUAUUGAUGAUUAUAAUAGAAAAACUUGAGUAUAUUUCUUAAAAGAAAAGUCUAAUGUGUUUAGUUUUUUUAAGAAGUUUAAGGCCUUUAUUGGAAAAAAAAAAAAAAGUGAUUAUUCUAUAAAACCACUUAGGACGGAUAGAGGAGUGAAUUUUGUUCUAAUGAUUUUAAUGAAUUUUGUGAAGAUCAUAGCAUAAAAAGACUCCUAACGAUGUUUAGAUCCCCACAACAAGAUGACGUGGUGGAGAAAAAGAAUAGAAGCAUCUUCAACAUGGCAAGAAACAUGCUUAAAAUCAAGAAUAUGCCUAAAUAGUUUUGGGUCAAAGCUGUAGAUUAUUCUAUUUACUUGUCAAAUUGAUGUCCCACUAAAAGCUUGAAUGACACGACUCCAUAAAAAGCAUGAAGAUAAACAAGUAAGGACCAAACUAGAUGACAAGAGCAAAAGGAUUAUAUUUAUGAGCUAUGAUCAAAUACAUUACAAAAAGCAAAGUUAAUAAAUUUAGUCAUGCUUAUGACCUUGGUCAUGAGUUGGGCGGGAUAACCCAAUUAGACCCAAGUCAAUUCAAAUUGUCAUUGUUUCAAUAUUUGUUUCUACAAAAAAAAAAAACAUGUUAAACCGACAUCUUUUAAGAAAAAACUUAAAAGUCAAGCUAAGUUUUAACUAGGUCGAUCCAGUUAUGAGUGCACCUACUAGAUCAACCGAGUUACACCAAGUCAACUCCCACAUGAUUUACUAUGAAACUCGGUCCGUGCCAUUUAAUAGAACACUAUUAUGAUAACCUAAUUUUUAUCCCCUUAAAAAAAUAAUUUUCAUCAUAAUAUUUAGUAGAUAAAAUUCAAUAGAUUUUCAAGAAAAAGAAAAUUGUUGAAAACUACUUAUAAUACAAAAAAACAAAUCAUAAAAAAUGAAAGAAAAAAAAAAGAAAAAUACAAUUAGAGAUAAAAUCAAACAAAUAAUGAAUUUUCAGAAAACAAGGACUGGGCUAGAGCAAUUACAAAAGGUCAAAGAUAAUUUUGAGAAAUAAUGAUGGAUUUGAAUGAAAGAAAAUUGAAGAAAAAUGUUAAAAUUGACCGAGUUUGCAUAAAUUAAAAGACUAAGGACCAAGAUAAAAGAUAUGGAAAAGUUUGAAAGUCUUAUUAAUUCAAACAAUGGCUUAAUUGAAGAAAUUUUGAUAUUUAAUGUUAAUUUAACCAAAAAUAAAAGAAUUAAAAGAUGAAGAACCAAAAUAUUCAGGAUGCUUUAAUAGUAGUUUGAAUGCUACAACAACACUCCCAGAUGGUAAAAUCAAUUUUGGUUUUGAAAAAAAAAACAGCAAAAAUCAAUCAUGAAAUAUCCUUAGCCAUUCUUGUUAUGAAAACCAUAAAAAAGAUGUGUUUUAAGUUUUGUUGUUUGUCUUUAACCAAGCUUGGUCAUUACGAGUUAAUAAUGAAGAUAUUUUCAUGUUUUUAUUGAUGCAAGAAUUAAUAAAUAAAGUGCAUUACAUUUCAUACUAAACUAAAUAAUUCUUUUGGAAGCAACUUAUGAUUUUUAAAUGGUGGAAGUUAACCCAUUCUAAGCAUAAAAUAAUAUUGUUGUUUUUAUCCAUGAGAAAAUAUAGUAGGGAAAGUUUCUUUUAUUUAUUGGAAUAAGGUUGGAUAUAAAAUAUUAUAUGUAAGGCUGCUUUUUAAUCCUAAAAAUAUCAAUUUUCUAGGUUUCCAACCCGUUGUUUUGGUUAGAAAGCAUAUGUCAUUUGAUUUGGAGAAUAUGACAAUUUAUGGUUAUCAUAAUCUAAGUUUUUUUUUUAUUCUUUUGAUACUAUGUUUAACUUGGAAUUAUAUAUUUUGGAGAUUUAUAGUUCAUCUCCCUAGGGUUUUUUUUAUGGUGCAUGCUCUCUUUGCUUAAUAUCCUUGAUUAUAAUAAACAUGAAGAAUUAUGGACUAUAUACAUGUUUUGGUUAUUCAAAUGAUGCAUGAAUGAAUAAUAAGAAGCUUGAAACCUUUUCUUAUAAGGUUAGGUUUGUUUAUCUAGGGUUUGUUGAUUAGGAAAGAAUUAACUUGACUAAGAUUGUAUGCCUUAUGUUAAUCUUAGAUUAAAUUUUUUGUUUUAAAAGAAAAAAAAUCAACAAAAUUGUUUAUUUUAAGGAUUAAUGUAUGUCAAAUUUAUCGACGAGUCUCCUAUUCAUAGGGACCAAUAUUAUUUUUAAAAAUAAAUCAUGAAUAAGCUUAGAAAUAUAUCUAGGUAAUUAAUAGCAUGUAUAGAAUAAAUUUAUGAGAAAACACAUAGUAAAGAUAACUUUUUUUUCAUUUGAAAGGAUAUGGUAAGGGUGACAUUGAUCUUCUCUUUAAGCAUAACUAACUUAGUAGCUGAAUCUUUGAGACCGGUAUCAAUUUUAGAAUUUUUAGUUUUAUUUAAUUAUGUCAUGUAUUCAUCGUGGUGUGAUAACUAUGUUAACAUACGAAACUAGGUUGGGUUUAAAAACAUUGUAAAAUAAAUCUCAUGAAAACAUAUAACAUUAUUUUAUAUAACAUUUAUGAUGGAAUCAGAUACCAGAGCAGGCAUAAAAGAAAGUAAAAAUAACCAUCAUAAUAUUCCAUUACUAAUUAUUUGUCCAUUGCAUAGAGAAAUAACAUAAUAUUAAUGGGUAGAGAUAACAUAUAUAGUAGUGGAUAACAUAUAUAUAUAUAUAUAUGUAGUUUGCAAUAUCAUGGAGGUGAUAUGCAACAUCUAAACCGUUUCAGGCAUGUAUAAUUAAUUAAGGCAAGGCUACCAACAUAAGAUAGCUAAAUAUCCAUUAGAAUUUUAAUGGAGUCUUGAUGACCAGAGGUUUGAACCCAUGUUGGAUACUUGCUUGCCAAACUUUGUCAAUGUCAGCCAUGGUAGAACCGCAUUCAUGCUCGUCCCAUCCUUCCAAGGCAUGCACUAUUCCAGCCACACGCCAUGCGCUCAUCACUCUUCUUGGCAGCCAAUUCUG
rnacentral:lncRNA from 1 species